rnacentral:lncRNA from 1 species
GGAUAAAUACUUUAGAAACCAAAUUUUAUAAUUUUUUAAUAUUAUUUAUCUUAGAAAAAACUUCAAAAAGCUCCCUUGUGGUUUCAAUUUUUUUUCACUUUAGUACCCUGUGAUUUAAAAUAUAUCAAAUUAGUACUAUGUGCUUUCUCACUUUAUCACUUUAGUACCCUGUGGUUUAAAGUUUAUCAAGUUAGUACCCUGUGGUUUUGCACUUUAUCACUUUAGUACCAUGAUGUUUUAAUUUUGUAUUAAUUUAGUACCCUGUGGUUUUUUAAAUCACAGAGUACUAAAGUGAUAAAAUGUGAAACCACAGGGUACUAAAGUGAUAAAGUGCAAUACAUACACUUUAAACCAUAGGGUACUAAAGUGAUAAACUGAGAAACCACAAGAUACUAAUUUGAUAAACUUUAAACCACAGAGUACUAAAAUAAAAAAGUGUGAAAUCACAUGGGAGGUUUUUGAAGUUUUCCCUUUAUCUUAUAAUUCAAAGACCUCAAAAUUAACAAUUUUCACAUGGGGCAUUUUCUCGUUUAACAACGUAAAGAUAUCCAAAUCAAUUGAUUUUUUGUUAGAAAAUUUUUUAAACUAUUUAAAACAAGAUCUAUACUCUUGAUCUUGAUUUCAAGACUCCUAUCNCAUAUGUUGGGAUCGACUAGCUUAUGCUUCUUUAAUUUUUUAAUUUGUAUAGUAAAUUAAUUCGUUAAGUAUUGCAGAUCAUAUCUAUUUGAUUAAUCUUAUUUUAACGCCUAUUACAGAUAUUUAGAUAUAACAGAACACAUCUUUGAAUUAGGUUUUCGAUUACUUUGCAUGUUAGUUAUAGUACCGGGGUCUUCAUCUUUCUUCGUUAUUAGUGUUGAUGGUCACUUAAGAGAAAUUAAAAAAUUUCGAGGAAUUAAUUGAUCAAUGUACUUUUAUAUUGCUAAUGAUGUGCACAAAUGGGGUUAGGAAUUGUGACGAGACGUGGCAUGGUAUGAUACCAUUAAUUAAUAUCCUUGACUACAGGGUUCUAAUCUACAUAUAAAACGUACACGUAUAUAUCCUACCUAUGAAUUAAUAUUGGAUUAGUAAUCAACACUAGUCAAAUUAACAAAAAAAAAAGUUCAAGAGAAAAACCGCAGUUGUUUGAAGAUUUAAUCUUUGCUGAUCAUUUCUUUAAUUUUUAAUGUUGAUCAUCUAUAAGCCAAAAUUAUUACUUAUAAAAGAAGUAACAGGACAUGCAAAGAACGCAAAAGUGUGAAACGAAAAAAUCAAUCUAAUUUGAAUCGAUUGACGAAUAAUAUUAGCAUAUAUAUANGUAUCCCUUCCAAUGACCAAAUUAGUUAACAAAUCGAGCUUUUCCACGGAAGCCACCUACUAGUCAAUUCCACAAUCUUUAAUCCCUCAAAUUCUAUUAAUUCCACACCCUUCACCCUAUAUAUACACCCCCACCCCCCUCUCCACAACAACACUCAAACACAUAUCCCAUUACUUGUUACCUACAAAGAGCUAUAAUUAAUCCCUAAACCCUUCACUCGCAAUGGGCUCCUCCUCCACCAGCAGCGCCGGCCUCAGUACUCUCCUCUUCAUUCCUUGCCUCCUCCUCCUUGCCGCGGCCCUCGCGGACGCCGCAACAUUCACGGUGACCAACCAGUGCUCGUUCACGGUGUGGGCGGCAGCGGUCGCAGGCGGCGGCCAAAAGCUGGACAGCGGCGGCCAGAAGCUGGACCCGGGCGCCACCUGGACCGUCACCGCCAAUCCCGGCACGACCGGCGGCCGCAUCUGGGCCCGCACCGACUGCUCCUUUGACGCCAGCGGCAAGGGCCACUGCAAGACGGGCGAUUGCGGGGGCGUGCUGGCCUGCACCGCCUAUGGCGUACCCCCUAACACCCUCGCGGAGUUCGGCCUCAACCAGUUCAGCGGCCUCGACUUCUUCGACAUCUCCCUCGUCGACGGCUUCAACGUGCCGAUGAACUUCCUGCCCGACUCCGGCAGCUGCACCAAGGGGCCGCACUGCGCCGCCAACGUGGCGGCCCAGUGCCCCAGCCAGCUGCAGGCGCCCGGCGGCUGCCACAACCCCUGCACGGUCUUCAAGACGGACCAGUACUGCUGCAACUCCGGCAGCUGCGGCCCCACGGAUUACUCCAGGUUCUUCAAGAAUCUGUGCCCCGAGGCCUACAGCUAUCCCAAGGACGAUGCCACCAGCACCUUCACCUGCCCUUCGGGGACCAACUACAAGGUCGUCUUCUGCCCACACUGAGAGGGUUACGUACGUACGUACGUACGAACGUACCCAUGGAUGCAUGCAAUGCAUGGGGCGCGCACUACGUGCUACGUGGGUUCCAUAUAUACAUAUAUAUAUAUAUAUAUAUAUAUAUAUAUAUAUAUAUAUACAUAAAGGGGUGCGGAUCAUGAUUCAUGACACGCACUGAUGAGCUAGCUCGCUGAUAGCUUGGUCAGUUUGCUUGGAUAUAUGCUAUGGAAUAAACCGCGCGUGAAAUAAAUAAAUUAGAUAAUACUUAUGGUUAUUUCGUGCAUGAAUAUAUAAUUCUAUAUACAUAGUAUAGAUAUGAUCGAGUGAAAUAGCUUUACUUUGUGGGUGGGCUCUCGAAGCAUAUAUGGAAUAGCUGCGGUGCUUAAUUUUGUCGUUAAUUUGGACUUUAAUGGUUUUUAAAAAAAAAAAAAUUGGCAUUCCGUAGUAGGAUUGACUUAGGUUUUGGAAAUGAAUGGUUGGGUGCAAAAAAGUGCCUCGAUCGGGAGUAUGGGGGCAUUUGCAAUAUGCUAUGAGAAAAAAAUGCUACUUAAUUAUAGAUUUAAAAGUGGAAGGGAAAUUUUCAAACUUUAGUUAUCAUGUGAUAUGGUUCAAACAAGGCUAAUAAUUUUUUUACUUUUUUUUCCCUAAAAAAAAAAAGGCUGUAUGAUAUGAUCGUGGGCCCUGGGUGAAAAAUAAAAAGGAAAAAAUACAUCUUAAUUAUACAUUUAAAAGUGGAAAGGAAAUUUUCAAACUUUAGUUAUCAUGUGAUAUAGUUCAAAUAAGGCCGAUAAUUUUUCUACUUUUUUUUCCUACAAAAAAAAAAUCCUGUAUGAUAUGAUCGUGGGCCCUGCCCCCUGGGUGAAAAAUUAAAAGGAAAAAAUACAUCAUAAACAAAACGAUCGCGAUGGGACUCGAACCCACAAUCUCCCGCUCCGGAGGCGAGCGCCUUAUCCAUUAGGCCACGCGAUCACAAAUAUUUUCUUUUCUAUAAUAUUUAUGAAUGUUUAUUUGAGUAAACUAGUGUGUAAACAAAUGAUACACGUCUCAACGUAGAAUAAAUAAAAGAGAAAAUGAGAUACCAAAGAGAAAAAUAAACAAGUUUAGUAAAACAUCAUGAGUAUGUCUAUUGCGCUUUCGAAAAUAUGAAGAUCUCUAUACUUAUAAAUUAUUUUCGAUAAUAGAAUAUUUUAUUCGACAACCAGCUUCGUUAAAUAUUAUCUACGCUAUCAAAAUUAUUUAUAAAUCAAAUUUUAUAAUUUUUCGAUAUCACUUAUCAAGUGAUCAAAAAAUUUCAAAAUUGACCAUUUUAACGGACGGCGUGACACGUUUGUAAGUUCAACGGUAUAGAGCAAUCCAAUUUCAUAAAACUUUAAUAGAAAAUCAUAUUUAACAUCGAGUGCGAGAACAAUACUUUCGAUUUAAAAUUUGUGUAGAGCAAUCCAAUUUCAUAAAACUUUAAUAGAAAAUCAUACUUAACAUCGAGUGCGAAAAUAAUACUUCCGAUUUAAAAUUUGAGUCUUUUAUCAUUAUUUUUAUGAGAUUUUUAUUUUUAGCCGUUCAUUUUAAGACUAGUCGUUUGCUAGGCAAAUGAAGUUAAAAAAUUAUAAAAUUUGGUUUCUAAACAGUUAUAAUAGUGUAACUCAUACCUAACGGAACCGAUCGUCGAAUCAAAUAUUUCAUCAUCAAAAAUAACUUACAAGUACGGAGAUCUCCGUACUUUCGAAAACACAUAAGCCUAACUCAAAACAUCAGAUACAUUUGUUAGAAAACACUAGUUCUGAUCAACAAGUAUAAUACAACAUGAACAAACCAAUCCCUCAAACCAAGACAUUAAUUUUCUCACAUUCAAUCCCAAUAUCAAAUCCCAAAAAUAUACAUCUCAAAACAUAUCAAACACAACAUUAAUAUCAGAGGCUUCAGAACAAAAAAUAAUAAUAAUAAUAAUAAUAAAAACCUCUAAUACUAUCCUCAACAAUUGUUCGCCUUGCACCGAAACAACACUCUCUUCUUCUUGUAUGAGCUAUUCUCAAUGGCGAGAACGACUUUUCCGGGCUCGCUGUUCUUGUAUGAGUUUCUGAUUGUUUCUUCCUGAUACCCAAUUUUUUUCGGCUUUUGAAUAACAAUUGUGUAUGAUCCUUCAUCAAAGGGAACAAAUUCUUCUUUGUAGUUCACUUCCCAUCCAAGAACAGUUAAAUCCCACACUAGAGUUGUCUCAGCCUGUUUACACAAACAACAUUACAAAAUAACUCAUUUAUUAAUGUUUUCGACACAUACAAUUUGAUUAAGCAAAUAAAAAGCCAUCCCUCACAUUAUAUGACAGGAUUGGAUUCUUUAUUUCUAUAUAUCUAAUAUGGGACUAAUAGAAGGCAAGUGAUUAAUUUAUGCACCUGUGGUAGGGGGAUUUCGACAUUUUCGGUCGAUCCAGCUUUAACUACGAGCUCGGUAAUCGCGACAUCGUCACCACCGGAGAAUUCGACAUCGCCCUCGCGCUUUAGCCCACCGUAAGAAACAGGUAUGUUUUCGGCAGGAAUAUACCUGGGGAAAAAAAAGAAAAAAAAGAGCUCACAAGUUUGAAAAUGCUCAAAUAGUUACAGUUAGUGAAUGCAUGAAUAGUGGUUAGGAUCAAGUAAGUGAGAAUGGCUUACUUGAGGAGAGUUUCCGUGACCCUCCAAGGGCGCGCGAACACGAAUUUGCUCCUUGUUCUUAGGGUUAGGAAGGGCGAGAUGAGGGCGCUGAAUGCGUAGAACCAAAAGGGCACAUUGAUGAAGAUCUACAAAUUGAUCGUUUUCAUUUACCAUGCACGUACGACAAAUUAAAUUUUAGCAAAUUUAUCAUGCUUGCAUGUCUCAAAAGUAAAAAUAUAUGAACACAAGAAAACUGCAUCGAUCAGUGUAGGAUGCAUACGAUCAUCAACAAAUUAAACUAACUCAGUUUGAUAUAUUAAUGGUAGGAAUAGAUAUAUAGAUGAUUGCGGAGAAUCUAAUAAAUGAACAAAACUAACUCACGUUCUUUGCGACGAACUCAGGAUAAUUAUCCUGAAGCAGCUGAACAGCCUCCCUCGUCGCGAUCCGCAGCUCCUUCUUCGAGACCCCGGGCGAGUUCUUGAGGUCGAUAACCUGAACGAAUGACGCGGCGGCCCCCGGCCUGAACUCGAGCUCGCGAAUCCCCUCCUCCAUGACCCGCACCCUCCACCGCAGCAGCUCCUUCCUCCGCUCCUCCGUCCCGAACGCCUUCCGGUACGACUCCGCAUCCCCGAACGCCCCGAAAACGUUGUAGCACACCGGCCGCCCCUCGCGGUCGCGCCCGGCCACGAAGCAUGCGCCGCUCUUGCAGGGCCCCGCGCCGAGGGAGCUCUCCUCGAGGAUCGAAUCGACCUUGUGUUAAAUAAUAUAAAAUAACCGUUAUUCUCUAUAAAGUUCCCAGUAAUAAUAUAUAUUAAGAGCCUGAUAUAAUUCAAGUUCAAAGUUUUCUUCUUUGAUAUCAUAUUAGAUAAUACGAAACAAUCGUUAUUCUCUGAAAAUUUAAGUCGGUGGAGAAUAGUGUCUAAAUAUUUUUAUAUUUAAUACCUUGCACUCCUUCCUCCACCGGAGCGUGUUGCGGAUCAUGUCGAACGCCUCUCGCUCUUUGAACUCGCGGGCGCGGAGGAACUUGAGGAGGAGCACAUUGGCGCUCUCCGGUGACUUUGUUGUGGGCACCAGUGUUACUCCCCAUAGAGAGAUCCCGCGCUCUCUCGUUCCCUCCUUCAUGUUCUCUUCUUCCUCCUCUGUGUCGUAGAGCUUAUCGUUGUUGGCGACGGCGUCUUCGAGCAUCGACUUCAAGUCCAUUAAGGCCUUCUUCUCGUGGUCUUUGAGGUCGGUGAGGAAGUAGCUCUCCUCCUUAAAGGAGGAGCUUUUCUCCAUUAUGGAGCCGAGAGUCGUGUGCUCUUUGUCAUCUUCUGGUUCCCUGUGAUCAGCAUUGUUCGGCUCGGCGGCGGCGGCAACGGUUUCGACCUUGACGAGCUCCGUCAGGUCGUCGACGGCCUCGACGGGUUCUUCUUUCGGAGCGGCGAGGGGAUCGGCGAUGUGGGUUCCGUUGGAUUGGACUUCAACGGUCAUGGUUGCGCAGAGGAGGAAGGGUACUGUUUGGAUCAAAAGCACACCAAGAGGAAAAAGCUCUGUUUUUUAAGGUAGGGGGGAGGGUGAAACAGAGGAGCAGUUUGGAUGAGAAAGGGAUGUGGGAGGGGUUUCCAACGGCUAAGUUUUAUGUGAAAUGAAAGGGUUAGGGGAAAAUGUAUGGAUACACCCUGUACAAUCCCUAUAUUGCAACUGGAUAUCUCUUUAUUCGCUAAAAGUAAUUAAAUUACUAAGGCGUGGUUUGAUAUUAUUGUCUUUUUAAAAAAUUUUAUUUUUUAGUAGAAUGUCUGUAUAGUGUAGGAGGGAUUGAUAGAUUGCUUUGCGGGCAAUUAAAAGUAAGAUACUUUAAAGCCUUUUUUAAAAAUUAUUAUCUAAUAUUUAACUGGAACCCAAUAAGUAUUAAAAAAAUUUGGAUAGUAUAUCAAAUUAUAUAUAAAAUCAAUAUUUUGAAAAAUAAAUAUGCAACUUCAUAAACUAAAGAAACAUUAUAGGACCCAUUUGCAAUAUCGAUAUAGUAGAAGGACUAUCCAUAAAUGGGCCCCAGUAAGCGGCCGAUGAACUGGCGCCGUCAUUAAUGGCGUUGCAAGCAGAUUCUCUCUCUCUUCCUCUCUCUCUCUCAUAAACGUGGAUGUAUUAUUAUACUAAAUAUUAAUUAUAAAUAAGUUUUAUUAUUUUUAAAAAAAUAUAUAUAAACUUGGAGAAAUGAAAAGUAGAAAACUACUAAUACUGUGGGGCCAGGUCAAGAGAGAAAAUAAAAUAAUGUAGUUUCCACUCUUGCUUUGCAUUGUUAUUGGUGUCUCAUGUGCUUAAGCAUAGGAGCUAAUGUUAAUUCACUAUCUUUUUCUAUAUAAGGGUUGUUGUAACGAGAACACUGUCGUUUGCUUUUGCGAGUAUAUUACUAUAUUUUCCGAAUUUUGAUGUUAGAAACUAUUUCCAAAGAUCCAUUAAUUUGUGUGUUACUAUAUUGUUUAAUAGCAUUGUAGAAUUAAGAUAUGAUUCAAAUUUAGAUAUAAGAGUAUCAAAUUUAGAAACUAUUUCGAAAGAUCCCUUCUUUCUCUCCCACUAAUGUAUCUCUCGUCUUAUGUUACCUGACUAAUCUUAUUAUUAUUAUUAUUAUUAUUAUUAUUAUUAUUAUUAUUGUUAAUCCUGUGGACCCUAAUCCAAAUGUGUUUGGUGCACUAUAACAUGUGAGGAACGAAGGAGAUUUGCUGUCAAAGUUCCUUCCCUUAUAUUAAAUAGUUUUGACUCAUACAAUAUACUCUGCUUAACUGGCUUUCGCUGUUAUCUUCUUCAUCCUCUUACUCCCUCAUAAUAUGAAAGAAUCUAAUGCAAUUUCCUGUACUAUUCGGAGUCUCGAUGGCGCCAUUAUUAUCUUAAGCCUCCUCUCCUCUGAUCACCAAAUUGCAUGUUGGUUUUAGUGGAUUAGGAAUCAUGAAGAACAUUACACAGCAUUAAGAGGUGUCAAUUGGCUUUCGAUAAAAAAGAACACAUAAAGUUAUUGGAGUUAUACGGUCGUUGACUGUAAGCAGUAAUCCAGCUAAGAACACCAUGACUUGAACAGUAUAUUGUGUGAUGAACAAAGAAUAAAAACACUGCAUGUGUGCUGUAGCUGUUCAAUUUAUUGAUUCCAUUAAAUAAGCACAGUCGGAGCCCUGUAAACUUUUUUUUUAAAAAAAAAGAAUAAAAAGGCCAACCACUAUAAAAAGUAAAUAGCGCAAAACAAACUUCAAUCAUGCAAAGCCAGUUCAUCCUCUCAUAAUUUUUGUUGACAAUAACAUGCUACUAAAAUAGUUGUGUUGGAAUUUUUUUCUGGAAAAACAAAAAAAAAUUCACCACGUAACAUCGCAAAACAUACACCAGAACCUCAAACCCAUACAAAGUACCAUAAUUUUCUGGAGACAAGAUUACAACAUAAUGAUGGAAACUGGAGAGAUUUACGAUACAAAGAAAGAUGUCGAUACCAAGUGUAUUCUGCAUCAUAGGCAAACUCACCGUUCCACUUAAGUGUUAACGGAAAAGAUUGUUAUUAGAAGUUUGUUAUUUUUAUUGUAAGUCAACAAAUAAGAGUGAAAACACCAAUGCUGUGAUCCACAUAUUCAUACCAAUGAUCUUAAUUUUGCAACGGAAGUUUCAAUUAAUGGCAUAUAUUAGUACUCAAAAGUCGAGAAAAUUGCAUCCAGAGUCCUUAAAGGUUGAUAAGAAAAGAUCGGAGAUGAAUCUCUCUUUGUCAACUCAUGUACAACCAACAAUUCCGUACAGGUCCACCUCAUGUUCUUCAAAACGGAAUAAAUAUGAUGCAAGCAAGGCUGGUGCUGAAUAAUCUUAUGCACUAGCAACUUGAGUGGCAGCGACUGGGGUGUCUGAGUGUGAACCCCAUUCGGUCCACGAUCCAUCGUAGACUGCAACAUCAGUUUUCCCAAGCCGAUGGAGGCCCUGAAAUAAAAUGGAAUAUGUUAGUUGUGAAACCCGAGAUAAUCCUAUAUAUAAGAUAUAAUAUGGCUAAAACUUUAUACUUGGCUAUAGCAUUUUGGACGGUGGGUAAGCCUAAGAGGUUAAGAGAGUUAAGUGUAUUAGGACUAGAGUAGUUCUAGAAUGUGUGAUCCCCUAGGAAGUGGGGCAUCACAUUAGUCCCGAUUAAAACAAUGAUUAUUGUUACUUCACUUAGUUACAGCUAAUUAUCAGCCUCUAUACGAAGAAAGUAAAAAUGCAGCUAAAGACCCCCGCAGCUGUAGACCGUUAUGAAAUGACCCCCUGAACAUUAUAGUUUGCUGAUUGGCAACCCACAACGUCAGGAUUCAGAAAAAAAGGCAUUUUAGGGAUUGAAAAAAUUAGCUCGAAGUUGCGAAGAUACAAAAAAGAGGUUCUAAAUUGUGAAAAUGAAAAUAUGCAACUACACAGAGCGAGUAUGCAAAACGACCAAACAUUUUCUCAUUGUUCAGUUACUACAGCACAUACCAAAGCAAGUAUGCAAGCAGUCACGCCAGUACCACAAGAGGUAACUACAGGACUAUCAAGAGAGAUACCUGAAACAAGUUGACAAGCCAGAGUGAGAUAUUCGACAUAAUGCAAAAUAUUAGUCUAAUAUUCUUGUUCAACAUCCAGUGCAACAACUGAUACAAAAAUUGUUAAUGACACAAAGCCAUAAUUUUUUAAUAUUCAAGAAACUAUCCAAAGUUUUAUGGCAGAGUCAUUGCAGUGAAAUGACCAGUUCCCUUAUUAUUUGCAGCAAAGACUGUCUGACUUGGUACAAAUGACCAUUAUAGAUAUAAGAUUAUCCUCUAUGAAAGAUGUAUGACGUGUGAAUAAUGAAUUCCUUGCAUGAUAUGCAAUUUUACUAACGAACCUGUGUGCCAUUAUAUUUCAGUGUAAGCUAACAUCACGUCUAGAAUAUCAUUCAUGUAUAUAGAUAUAUAUAAGAUACGUGAUACGAUGUUCCAUUGUUAAUAUAUGAUAAGGUGUUCCAUUAUUAUAAGGCUUAAUAAUUAUAGCUCGUGAGUUAUUUUGGCCUUUCUUAAAAUCAUCAGAAUUUUCCAGAGAACUGAAAGCCACGAAAACGACCAAAAACUCUAGGAGACUAGCAGUGAAUUUUUUAACCUUGAAAAAUACUGCAUACGAGUCACAAUGAGCAAGAAAGAUACAUUUUGAUAGUACUAAAUAAAUUCCCACCUUCUUGCUCAAACCUUUUUCUAAGUUCGCUUGGAGGCAAUAACAUCUGCGAACUAUCCAGCAUCUGCAGAAAGUUAACAUACGUUUAAGUAGAAAAAACAAAUAUGAAAAUAAAAAACAAUACGAGCGAGUUCAGAACUUUUCAGCCAUCAAAAGGACCUCAUAUAUCAAAAAAGCAAAUCAGAUGCCAGGCUAUUAGCCAUUUGGAGGGAUAAUAAAUGUAGACAAAUACACCGAUGGCACAUAAAGGUUGACACUACGAUAGAGAGUAGAAGGCAGAAAUUCAACUAGAUUUUAACUGUAUGAAAACAUCCAGUUUCUCUUCUAUGCAUGUCAUAAGUUACAAGCUUCUUCUAAUCCAUGCAUUCAUAGACUUUCUUUACACACUGCUUUGAUGCACCAAAAUUACAAUAAGUCAAUUUAAAGCAGUGCGGCUAAUACUCCGACAGGUAUCUUAUAGAUAUUCUAAAGGAUACCGCAUAUGUAUACACACACAACUCGAAAGAUAUGAAAAAUAAUAAUAAAGAAAUGAAACAAAAUAUAUAACCACAUAAAUAUAAUCAGAUACCAAAAUUAGGAAAUUGACUGUAAAUUUCUACCUGAGCAAACGGAAUACAUUUACUCCCCGGCACAUGACCACCUCGUAUUCCCUUUCUUGGCUCUGGAGCCACACCGUCAAACCUGAAUACAACCAAACCAUUCACUAGUUACAUGCAAGUUCCUUACAAAAAUAUUCUGCUUUUCUGACAAAUAAAGAUAUCAAUAACUUACCUAGCUUUUGACCUAGCAUCUAUAUGCUGAUGUGUCUGGAGAUCAAUAUUCUGUUUAACCUGAAUGCAAAGAAAAAUCACUUUUGUUAUUUAAGUCAAAUAAUGUUUACUCUCCAAGCAUAGAUUUGAUAUAAUCAAAGACAGAUAUCACAGAGUGGGACCAGAUUUUCUCCAAGGCAAAGAACAUAAAACCAAGAAAUUAAUGAUGUUAGGAAGAGAGAGACAGAGAGACAUCGCAGAGAAAUGUCCCAACCUGUUCAAGUGUCCACAAAAGAUGAGGUUGCAACUUUGCCUCAAAAGUGGACGGGCCAACCUGCAAAAAGAACUUAACUCUAUAAGGAGCGACAAAACAUAAAGCUAACAUCAUCCACUGCUUCAAUCCAAAAACAAAGGUAACAUCAUCCAUUUCUACGAUCCAAAAACAAUAAUGCAAUAUAGAUACAUAGUUCAAACUGGAGUCAUAUGAAAAAUGAUUGCUACAACAAUUAACAUCAGCAAAAUGGCUAAGAAGACCGAAUCCACAAAUUCUGCAUGCGGGCGGGUGCGUGCGCAUGUGAAUUUUUCAAGCUUCUAGUGAAAAUUCAAUACUCUAGUAUUUCUCAAUUUCUGUCAAUUUGUUAUGAUACUAAAAUAUCAUUUUGUGCAAGAAGACAAAUGGCAUGCCUAAUAACUGGACCCAUGUGGGACCUCUAAAGCAGAUAAAAAGCUCUUGGAACUGAUUCAAGGGAAUGUAUGUUUAUAGGAAAAUCAGACUAUUUAGAGUGGGGAAAGUUUUUAAGGCGGAGAAAAUGAUAUAGACAAUUGACCUACUCACAAAUUGACACCUCUAGUAGACUGUAAAACAUCAGCAAGCAAUAAGCAUGUGCAGAAAAUAGGAAUGCAUGUUACAACAGAACUCGUGAACAAAUAAAGAGAUCUGCCUAGAUAAGAUAAAUUAAUUCGCAUUGUUUCAAAUAACAUACUGGUUGUCCUUGGUAAACUUUCUCAAUUGCUUCGCUAGCAGCACUGGCCUUCAAAAUUGCAUCACCAGAGGCACUAGAUUCAACAUCAUAUCCAGAAGCACGCCACUGUGGCAAACCUCCAUCCAACACCCAAACCUUAUCGUGUCCAAAGACUCGAAACAUCCUAUCAUUUAUUCCCCACAAAAAAAAAAAAAAGACUUAGCGAUCAUCUCAUGAAAAGAAUAACAAGAUAAAACCUAUUUUUCCAUGUAGAUAGCAUGCAGAAAUCAUAGCUUAAUUCAUAAAUUUUCAAGCACUUAAAUUUUUUCUAUUCAAAGCAUUAUUGGCAGUCUCCUACUUAUGAGUUCUGGAACAAUAUAAAGUGAUUAGGUGAAAAAUCAUAUAGAGUUAUUUCCCAAAUAAAUUUAUGAACUACGAAGACGUAAGAUGUAAUGCAUUUAAAAAGUGAUAAAUAUUCCAAUGAAGUUUUUGUAUUCGGUAAAGCUUCUCAGAAGAACAUGAGGAGUUCAAUAAGAAAAACUUCAGUUUUAGCAUCAAAUAUGAUAAUCCUGAGCAUCUGAUACAAUCUAAACUAAUUGCAUAAAGCUUAUCAGUUUCCAAGUAACACCUAUCGUUAGUUAGAUAUAACAGCUAUCAUUGGAGGAAAAUGUUUACCACCAUACACGAGCUGCACUGAAUAUCCCCUUUCCAUCAUAAACAAUUACCCCAUCCUUAUUAUAGAUACCAAGAGCAGAAACAGCAGCAGCAAAAGCUUCUUCUGACGGCAGCAUGUGAGGCAACUGUUUCAAAGACUUGCAAAAGUUAGUAGCCAUGCUCUAGAUAAAACUUCCUAGAAACAGAAAAAAACUGAGAUAACGAAAAAAAGAGAGCUAAAAUAUUUAACAGUAUCAACAGAGUCGUCACUAUGUUUUGUAAUGUCAAUGACAAGAGCAAAAUGAUAAUUACAGCAGGUUUAUGAGCAGUAACAAAGUGAUGGAUAUGGUCGCAUUUUCAAGGCCAGUCCAGCAUUCCUCAUUUGUUGGGAUAGGAAGGAAGAAAUGGAAGUCAGUAAAUUUUCAUGUUACUUGUCCACGUAUAGGGCCAAAAGAAAGUAAUCAUUCAUUAAGACAAUUAAUAUGCUUAACAAUUUCAGAUCCAAAGAAGACAAAUAGAAACUAAACCAAAGGCAAGAAACAAUGGUUGUCGAGUUCAGGAAACCAGCAGAGUGCUCAUAGAUACUGUAUAUGAAUUUGUCUUAAUUACGCAACUAAAUCUUUUAGAUAGUUUAAGAGCUCGACACUACAUGCAAAUCUGGGUGAUGCCAAUCUGACAAAAAUAAAAGCUAAAGCACAAACAUUAGUCAGCCACAUCAUGAGAGAUGAGGUGUAAUGAAAAAUCUUAGAAGAGCCGAACUUACAUUAGUUGUUCUGUCCGAAAUUCCAUCAACAUCAAAGAACAAAGCACCCGGAAUGUGGGCCACCUGAUUGUAACAGAAAAAGGGCCAGUUAGUAACAUUAAAGAAUAGAAAUUUGUACCAUUUCGAAAAUUGUAAGCUAAGCCUAAAAGUUUACAUACACAAAGCAUUUGCAAACAUCCUUUGUACGCAAUCUAGAAGGCUAACUUUAGAUAUAUCUUUGACAUAUCCAUCCCGUAAGGGUGCAAAUCUCACCAAAGAAGCUUUUACCUGAUAUUCUUGAAGCGGAUUCCGCUGCUCAUCUGGCAUAUACCAAGACGCAUCCAACACCUUUGAGAGAAUAAAAGGCCCGACAUUAAGAAAUUUAGAGAAAAAACAAAAAUUACUUAAUAUCUCCAUAGUUUAAUAAUUAAGAUCAUCAGGUUCACAGAUUGGUUAAAAAAUAUCUCAAGCAUGAUAAGCGCAUUAACUACAGUUUUGACCACAUUAGAACCAUAAGGCCUGCAAGCUUAAAGAAUGUUAUUGCAAAAGAAUGAUUGCUAUAACGGUCACAUCUUCUAACAACAAAAUUUCGUUCACACUUCACAUGAAUUUACUACCCACAAUAUCUGUAUAAUAAAACACAAGAUUAAAGUUAUAACCAGAGCACUUCACGAAAGAAAUAUCUGUUGAAAGAUAUUACCUAGUAGCAGAUUACAGCAUAAUUAGCUAAUAAUAUACAAAUCGAAAGUGGAAAUAUAAGUAUACCUUUACAUCUGGCUCUUUGAGAUUGGCAUGAAGCCAUUCAGCAGAAACAACAGGUUCAUUAUGCGGCACGGAAUGAAUCGCCAAUGUACUCAGUCUCAUGCUAGAUGAAGCGGUUACAUUGCAUCGAGCAAAACCGAAAGAUGGGGGAACAAAAGAUAAACCGUGCGCACGGACAUAAGGCGCUUUAUUCUGCAGAUAAGAAUUAUAAAGAUACAAGAACAUCAGCUAGACAUAUUAGCAAAGAAUAUUUGCAUGAUAAAUAAAAGCAUGAAAAAAUCCGAAAGACAAAAUAUAUCUUUUGAAUGCAUAUACAUAUCCCUGCAAAGUAGUGACAUUGUAGCUUUAUCCCUCAAAAGUUUUUAUAAUCAAAUAUAUGCAUCUUUGCAAAUAUUUCCCUCCCGUACUUCAUCAGUUUAAGUUGACUUCUAUAAAAAUGAGCAUUCUAAUUCUGAAUUAAUAUCUUAUAAGUACUAAUGAAGUCGUUUUUCAUUCUAAUUAACUCUGCUGUAACUCUCACACAAUUCCACAUAAUCCCUAAAUCCUAAACCCUCAACAAAUCGUAAAAAAAAAUGUUUUGUUUUUUUUUUUUUUUAAAAGGCACAACCUUGGCAGGGCAAAGUUGCAUAUCUUGGAGAUGAUUAAACUUUGCAUGAAUAAAUUCGCAGUUUCGAAACUUUAUGCGAACCCACGUGCAAUUACCCAAGAAAUCAAACUCUAAAAAGCCUAAAACCCAAAAUCGCCCAUGAAAACUAAUCAAGCCACACAAAAAACCACAUCAAGAACACGAAUUCACAACAGUUGCGAUAUGAGCAGAGACCGGCGGGAUCAGAAACCCCAAAACAAGGAGGAGAUGUGAUGCGUAACGAAGCAAGGGAAGGAGAGUUUCCUUUGCGAAGUGGCCGCAGAACCUCGUCGCCUCGCGCGAAGGGCGAAUCGAGGGCCGGAUCGAGCGGAGCCCCCCCGCGAUGGCGCGGCUCACGAGGGCGGAGGCCAUUGUUGAAGAGGUGGCAGGAGACGAUGACGAUGACGAUGACGAUGAUGAUGAUGAUGACGGGGGAGACGAUGCUGGUGCCGCGAAGCUUAUAAGAGAGUAGAGGAGGAGGACGACGAGGAGGAGUCGACCAUCGCCGCUCACUAAACCCCCGGCUUUUCUUCUUUGUCGCCCCACUGGUUUUCUUUUUCUUUUCUUUUUUUUUUUCUUUUUCCUUCUAAAUUAUUCCAAAACCCUCUUUUAAUUUCCCCAUAUUAUUACGGUGGGUAGGAUUUGUACGUCGUUUUGGACUAGCCUUUGUAUACUCACAUAUGGAACCUUUCAUUUAUCAGUUUUAUAAUAUAUCUAUUUAUAGAAAAUUAUUUCAUUAAUUUAUAAUUUUUUAUAUAAACGAACUCUAAAAGUAUAUAUAUUACUAAAAUUCAUUAAUAAAAUUUUCCAAAUUUAAUGGCUACUAAUUGAAUUAUUAAAUCUAACAAAAUUUCCAUCUCCAAUUUUUACAAGCAAACUCGCGUCCUGUUACAUUACAAAACCACGGUACGAGGCCCGGGUUCCGCACCAGGUUCUAGUACGAACACUCACUCGUCAGUACCUGCUUCAAAAACAAAUGGAAACUCAUUACUACCAUAAGAAAUGAGACAAAGCUUUGACCUUUAACAGCUUCCUACUGCGAGUAAAAAGAUAGAAGUUCGUUGCAUUACAGCUUCUCGCUCCUCGCUGCAGCAAAAGUUUUAGACUUUCGAGCUCUCAAACACGCGAACACUGCUUUUUGGGGUGGAGCAGAAAAUUUUAUCCUCUCUUAUAAACAAAUCACAAUUCCGGACUUACUGCCAACCUCUACAGCACUGCAACCUGGUGAUUUCCUUAGACCUCUCUCCUUCGCCACACCCAUAACAUCUUUCACAUUCUCCCACUUCUCAUCAAGUGCAUAGAUAUAAGAUAACAAACUAUAAUACCCACUGUGGUCAGGAUUCAGCUUAAACAAUUUACUCGCGACCAACUCGCCGAUCUCGGUGUUGUGGUGCAUUCUACAGGCCGCAAGCAAAGCGCACCAAAUAUGCGGGCCGACUGGACAGUUCAUGCCUUCGAUUAUCGUCAUCGCCUCUCGUAGCUCUCCAGCUCGGCCAAGGAGAUCAACCAUAAUGCCACAGUGAUCUGAAUUGGGCCGGACGCCAUAGACCCCGCUCAUGCUUUCGAAGAUCUUCUUUCCUUCUUCGACUGAACCUGCAUGGCUACAUGCUGACAAGACCGAGACGAAUGUUACGCUAUUGGGUUCGAUUGAUGAUUGGAUCAUGCGAUCGAAGGUUGCGACUGCCUGAUUUCCAAGGCCGUGGAUUCCGUAACCUGCGAUCAUCGAACUCCACAAUACCACAUCUUUGUCGCGCAUUGUUUCGAACACUUGAACUGCGCCUUCCAGGCUUCCAGAUUUCGAAUACAAAUCGAUGAGCGCAGCCCUCACAAACACUUUAGAAUCGAAACCGGACGUGACUAAGUAGCCGUGGAAGCAAAGGGCUUGGCGAAGGAUAGCUAAUUGCGAGCACGAAUUGAGAACUUUUACUAUUACGACUGCGUCGGGAUUGAAUCUAUCGGAGAGCAUGCUUUGAAAUAGCUUCAAUGAAUCACUAGGCAUACCAUUUUGGGAAAGACCGCCAAUGACUGCAGCCCACGAGACGGCAUCCUUUUCCGGCAUUCGGCGGAAGAGAUCCAUCGCCUCAUUGCAGCACGAACACUUCAUAUACAUAUCGAUAAGAGCAGUGGAAACUGAUGUUUCCAGUUCGAAACCUUUUCGAACAGCAACCUCGUGCACCCUCCUACCUUCAUUUAGAUCGCAAGCAAUUGCGCACGCCUGAAGAACGCUAACCACAGUGACCAAACUGGGCUCCAAUCCUGCUUCAACCAUCAUCUUAUACACUUUAAGAGCUUCCGAAGGAUCUCCAUGUUGAGCAUAACAUGAAAUCAUGCAACUCCAAGUGAUGACGUCUCUCUUAGACAUCGUACCGAACAGCCUCUGCGCAAUUCCAACUGCACCCAACUUCACGUACAAAUUUAGAACAGAAUUAGCCAGUGAGAGAUCGCCGCCGAAGCCCAUCUUAAUCACAAACCCAUGGCAUGAUUUCCCCGACCGAAUAUCCCCCAACUGCGCGAGAGCCGAUGCUACACUAACAAGCGUCACCGGAUCCGGAACCACGCGUUCCCCGACUAUGGCGCGCGAAAAGAACGAGACGGCUUCUUCAGCGCAACCAUUCUGCUGGUACCCAGAAACCACUGAAGUCCGAAGCACGACAUCCGGUUCGGGAAAAUCGUCGAACACCUUGAGAGCACUACCCAUGUCCCCGCACCUAGAGUACAUCUCAACGAGCGCCGCGCCCACGAACACAUCGGAAUCGGCGAUAAGGGCCCUCACCGCCGCGGCGUGCACGGCUUUGCCGUGGACCCGCGCGGCGAGGGCGCCGCAAGCUUUGAGAGCGAGGGGCAGCGUGAAAGCAUCGAAAGGGAGGGACUCGGCCAUGCGGCGGAAGAGGCGGAGGGUUUGGGGCCAUCGGCGGGCGCGGGAGUGGGCGCGGAGGAGGGCGUUGUAGAGGAAGGUGUUUGGGUGUGGGAUAUCGUCGAACACCUUGUGGGCGGCUGCGGCGGAGGAGACGCGGGCGUAGGAGGCGGUGAGGAGGGUGGCGAAGAAGCAGUCCGGGGCGGCGACGAGGCCGCUGCGGAGGAGGAGGGAGUGGAGUUGGGAUGCGGAGGCGACGUCGCCGCACGAUUUUACAAGUUUGGAUAGCGAUUCUCGGCUCCUCAUACAUGGAGGAGUCUCAGCUAUACAUUGUCCUCGCGUUUAGAAUAGAGUUUAAGAAGAAAGUGAAAAAUGUGUGGAGACCCCCUUAAGUACAUUCGAUUCUGAACAUGCCCCAAAUUUUUUAAAAAUUUAUUUAAUAAUUUUACUGAAAUAAAUUAAAAGAAUUUUAUCAAAUUUGAUAGUUUGCAUUCAUUUUAAAAAAAAUAAUUUGUUGAGGGGAUGUCACAACCAAAUGAUAGUAACAGAGGAUCUUUUCCUUCAUAAAAAGAAGAAAAAAAAGGAAUGCAAAUUGAAUAGAAAUACAUCAGGGCCAGCAUAUUGUGUGCCAGUUGAAAAUUUUACUGCCUUAUAAACCUUUUGACAUCAGAUAUGUAGUACUAUUCAAUAAAGAAAAAAAAUUACAGAGAUACAGAGGCAAAAAAGUACGCAGAUAAUGAGUUUAAAUCAUGCUUCUGAGCUCUGAGCUUCAAAGUUACUCGAGAACGCUUUACAUCGCGCAGACGAAGGGAUUACCAAGGAAUUUCCUGACCGUCCCAAGCGAAGAACUUCCCAUUAUCGCUGCUCUUAACAUUAUCGAUGAUAUUCAGAAGCUUUUGCACGGCGAAUCCUUUGGUGAAAAGCUUACCCUCCGGUACGUUUCGCUGGAACGGUCGUGAAAGGUCGGUGUCGACAGUUCCCGGAUGCAAUAGAAUGCAAACAAUUGGAUCCUUCUUCCGAGAAAACUCCACAGAUACAGUUUUCGUCACUGCAGAUAUAAAUAGAUGAUUCUGUAAAUUGGACUAAUCUAUGCAAUUAUUGACAUUGGCACUGAUCAUUAUCAUCCAAACCAGUGAGGCAAAGAACACUAUUCCCAAUUCUUGGUUUUGAGGCCAUAUAUUUCCAAUCAUAGUACCCUCCUACAAUACCGAUACUCUCGCACUUGAAAUUCCGAAAAUUCUUCAGUUAGUAAUUUUAGAAAUGAGUUAGGAAAUAUCAAACAUAAGUCGCAAGUACGAAGCUAAGUGUAAUGUACGUAGAAUCAUGCUAACAACUAACACUGCUGCUGAUAAAAUACGUCAGAGAAUGAAAAGAGAAAGCGAGUUAAAUUGCAUACACUGAUUUAGCGCCGCUUUUGAAGCUCUAUAGGAAUGCCAUCCCCCCAAACCGUUGUCGCCGAUGGAACCCACUCUAGCGCUUAAGUUUGCGACCACGGCGAAUUCUCUCUCUGUUCCAGAGCCUCCACCCAUCUUCAGUAACGGCCACAUGUGCUAUUUAACAUCUCUUCUCAUAUCAAUCUCAAGCUGCACUUUUUUCAUAAGCAGAAGCUGAAAGAAAUUAGUGAGAAUACACUCUACCUUAAUCACUAAGAUGGGGCCGACGGCAUUAACUUCGUAAGUUAGCAGCAAAGACGACUUCUGCACUUUGCUCAGUGUUGUUUCUGAAACCAUCAUUAAUUCAAAAAAAAGGUUUCAGCGAACACAAUCGUGAAUUCGCCUAGGAAUCAGAUAAAUACGAAGCAUUGAGUUAGAUCCAUCCGCGAACCUGGUUGGAGUACAUUAGGUAUCGAAAGAAUUCCCGAAGUAUUAACGAGUAGGUUAAGCGAUCCGUAUGUUUCACUAACAGCGCUUGCUGCCGCCUGCCACGACAUACCGUUUUCAGAAAAGUAAAGCUGUCUCUUAAGAAUAAAAACUUAGAAAUGUUAUAAAUAUCUAUCCAUAUUAAAAAAGAAAAGAGAAACAUCCGCACUUUCAAUUGCAAUUGCAAAUAAUGAAGCGAGAAUAUGUCUCUGAUGAAAUGAUGAAACAUAUACCUCUAUGGUGGUUUCAUUCGUCACGUCCAGCGGGAGUAUGUUAAGGCGAUUUUCGUAUUCUUUUUUCAGUUUUAGAAGAUCGGCUGCGCCGUCGGGGUUCCGACAUGUCGCGACGACGCGCCCCUCUUCACUCCUCUUCAACAAUUGCCUCACCUAUCAUGCAUACACCAUGCACUACAAAGUUUGAGAAUGCGAAUGCGCCGAAGUUCACACUCAUUUAUCUAAAUACUAUGUUACAAAGUUUGUGAUGCUCUAUUUUUUGGCCAUAUGAACUGAGAAUUUUGUUAACAAUUAACUGCUCAUACUUGUUGUUUGAUUUUAACAAAAAAUACACUGUAUCAUUAGCUAAGAAGUGGAGAAACCCAACAAACUUAAUAAAAUCAUCAUUCAAUCUAAGCAAAUUCCCAAUUCAUUUGAUAACAACGGCUCAAAUCAAAAAAUUAACAUAAUUCGAGAGAGCGUUUGUUUAAAUAAAAAUAAUAAUAAUAAUAAUAAAUAAGUUAAGAAAGCAAAACUAUCUGUCUCAAAAUUGCUCGGAGUUGAGGGAAAUUUCAUACAUUUUAACACCAAAUUUUAAAUAAAUAAUAGAAAAAAACAGAGACAAAAAAGUGGGGGGGGAGGGGGAAUUAAUAAAGUAUACGGACGAAUUCGAGGCCGAUUCCUCGAGAAGCGCCCUGCACCAUCGAAACGCCGCCUUGGAAUCGCGUCGCGGCCGCAGCCGCAGCCGCGGUGGAGAACGCGGCUUUUCGAAACGACGACGAUCGCAUCGCGAGCCGCGGUGGCGCCACCACAAGCUUCAGCAUGGGCUUUUUUAUUUUGUUGAGUAUAAUAAAUAAUAUACCGGUUUGGGCCAAGCCUUUUUACUUUUUCUCUCUCUUUUUCUCUUUUAUUUAUAAUUUAUUUAUUUUUUUCUCACAACACUUUAAUGCGAUGGUUAAAUAAAAAAAAAAAGAAAAACUUAUCUCCCAAUAUGCACUUAAUUUUUAAAAAUAAAACCUCUCUACAAACCUACUAAUCAUUUUUUUGUCUACGGGCCUUCAUUCUAAUUUCAUCAAAUAUUUAUUUUUAACGUCAAAAUUAAUUUUACCCAAAUUGUCUUUAUGCUUCUCCAAUUUCUUUCAUAUUCGAAAUAUCAUGAGAGAGAAAAGAGAAAGAUAAAAUAAAAAAUAUAUAUUGGCCAUUUUAUUAAUUAAUUUUAUUAAUUAUGUUUUUGAUCUUCCGGAGGAGUUAAUAUACCCCUCCAACGAAGUUCAUUAAAUUAUAAAAUCCACAAAUCAAUAUAAUAAUAAUAAUAGAUUCAUGCACUUGUACGUACGUGUACCGCUUCUUCGUUUGGCACCAGAGAGUAGCACGUUUCCACAAUCUCAACCACUACUUUUGCACAUAAAAAUGCACGACAUGCACUUCACAUGAAGCAAAGAAACUGGAGUAAUAAUAUGAACAAUUAAACCAAAGCCAAAGUUAAUUAAUGACCUUGGUUUUAUUACAUAACAUUAGGUUAAUGGACAGUGACCACACGCCAUGCAACGCAUGCAUACCAUACUUAACCAUCAAAAUUCAUUGUGAACUCUUCAUAAGCGCGACUAAAUCAGUACGCAUAAAGCUUUGCUAACUCCUGCAGCGCACCGUCGUCGGCGUCGACCUCCGGGUCCGCGUUCUCCAGCAUCCACAGGAGGUGAUCAAACAAAACGACCUCGCACUUCACCGAUAUUCCAUCCUCCGUGUUCCCCUCCGACCGAUCGAUCAGCGCAUCCAGCAGUGGGUGAUUCAAGUGCUUCGAUCGUAUGACGUAUCGGCGUCUCGAGCUCCCCACGAACACGACGGCUUCACGAUCUUCAUCUUCGUCGUUCAUCAUCGCGGUCGCGUCCCAGAAAUCCUCGUCUCUAGCGGAUUGCGACCGUAAGCUGCUGUAGGAAGAGGAUCUCCCCAGCUUUGAGAGGCUCCUGCACUUCCUAAGUAUCACACUUAUCUUCUUCAUCUCCUAAGAUAAAGAGAGGAGGAGAGGGGGGAGGAGAGGGGGACGAGGGAUAUACAAGCUAGUGACAUGAGCUAGCGUAACUUAAUGUACACUCGAACUAGCUAGUUAGUAUGAUUGUCAAAUGAAUAUUUGUAAUAUGGUAGGUGCGAUAUCGCUAUAGGCAGAUAACUAAGAAGGGCAUUGGUCCCGUUCCUACGACCUAACGAAGCUAACCCAACCAAUAUGGGUCCUAAGCCCGUCAUUAAUGUUAGGUCCCAACUAUACAAAAUUACGCAAGGCUUAAAUUAACUAAAGUGUGCACUAAUUAGAUAUAUGUAGCUAAGAAUAUAGCUGUAAAAUGAACAACUUCUACUAGUUAUAUAUUUAACUCGUACUUUACUACAAGCAACCGUGGUCAAAUUAUCCAAACACAUGCCUCGAGCACGGCUUUCACUCAGAUUAUUAAGCAACUAUUUGUUAUAUUCUGACUUAAUCUGGUAAAUUAGAUCCAUGCAAUCGUGAUUAAGGUUGUGUUUUUAACCACAAAUUCAACUUUAAAGCUUAACCUCCAUAAGCAAUUUAUACUCAGCUCAGGCUCUCGUGUCCACAGCAUGGUUCCGGAAGCUUCCGUCUGAGUCCAAAUAUGUCACCAAAUGAUAAGUGGUCCAGGUUAAUUUGACAGAGGGCAAAGAGGAGAACCACAACCAAUUUGGUCCCAACCAGACACUCUGGGCCCAGUUGGAGAGACGGUCCAUGUUUCCUCGUACUUGGCGUGGUGGGCCCCAUGACCGCAUGUAUGUCUAGUUUCGUGAAAAAGUUCUAUAUUAUAAUACUUAAAUCACAUCAUCUAUCCACAGCCAAUCACAUCUCUCCUUUUGAAAGUAAAAUACAACAAAAGUAUUUCUCUAAUAAGCAUGAUAAAAUGGAUCUGAUUGGUUGCGAAUACCACAUCAACAAUAUAAGUGAUGCAUUUUCCACGAUGCAGUUGUGGGGGAUGGGCGCGUGGCGCCCACUUCAAAAGGUUUGCCUCGCUCGGUUUGGGCUGGUGGUUGAUAGGUCAGGCUCGGACCCGACCUCGAGUUUGGAAGGUAGCUGCAACCGCCCACAUGGACAUGAGGAAACAGUCCAUGGGCUGGGCUGUCGCCUCCACGCUCCAAAGUGGGCCCCUGCUCUCCAUAUUGACCGCCCAUUUUUACACAUGAAUUUACUUGGGGUUCUAAAAGGUUUGUUAUGUAAAGCUUGAAUUAAACUUGCAGUACAACCACCGAUUACAAGGGGCCUUUUCGGUGAUUGGAAGUGCAAUACGAGAUUUAACAGCAAUAUAUCUUCUUAUAUUAAAAUCCGACUCAUAAGCUACAGUUUGGUAGCGUUACUCCCGCAAUAAUGCUUCAGAACUUAAAAAUGAAUAGACAACGAUUUUAAAUAAAAAAUGUUAUUUGACUUUAACGAAUUACCAGUUGAUACCGACAUAGCCUAAAAUGGAUUUUCAGAUGCUUCAAUACCCCAAUCGGACAUAAGACCGACAAGCAACUGAUUUGGUAUAGCAACUUUCUGCCUGAUCAAGACCAAUCUGCCAGAAAACCCAACAAGUUGAAAAAAAAAAAAAAAAUGCAGCACCAAAGUAGGUCGACUACUUUUCAGGAAAAGAUUUUUUUUUUUUAAAAAAAGGAAAGGAAAAGGACCACUUUUAUAACCACCAGAUCAGGCAUGGUUCCAUCAACAUGAAUCUAAUUAUAAUCAACAGGUUCUAAGGGCCCAAAAAGUGAAAUUUAACAGGGUGCAACAACUGAUUGCCAACAAGGUUGCUUCAGAAAUCGAAAGUAAUACAGCUUCCUCUGAAAGCUCCAUUAUUAUCCACUAUGUAAUUAAUGGCGGCUUAAGUCCAAGCUUAACUCCGAAGAAAGAGCAUAAUAACUCACUAAAAGAGUAUAGAUUAGCCCUGAAGCAACAGCAACCGCCAAUGUUAUUAUUUAAGCCAAUGUUUUAAGAUACAGUAUUGUGUGUCCCGUAAGCUACCGAUUAAGGCACAAAGAGUUUGUAGCUAUUCAUCUUAUCUAUUUCACGAAUACAACACCACAGUAUAAGUAUUGUCCUUCCUCUUGUCAAAAACAAGUGUUCAACUUGUCUCGCAUAGCACAUCACUCUAUGGUUUAUGAAUCAUGCGGGCGACCAUGUGGGAAUUCACACAAGAUUGCCUGAAGAACAAAUGAGCAAAUGUUACUUACUGAAGGUAUUAUCAGACGUUGAAACGGAAGAGCAUGACAUCUCCCUCCUGUACAACGUAAUCUUUUCCCUCCGAUCGCAACUGCAUUUAGAAGAAUUUAUUCAUUAAUGAAAUUAUUCUGCCUAUGUAACUUGUCUCAUAAGUAACUAAUAGUUGGAUUUAUUGGAAAGAGCAAUCUUACUAGCCCUUUUUCCCUUGCUGCUGCAAGAGAACCAGCUGCCACAAAAUCAUCAUAGGAUACCUGCCAGGUUAUUGUCACUUUCGAUCAGCUAAGAACCUAAUAGAAUGCACUUCUGGAACCAAAAGCAGUUCCUACUUGAAGCAUACUACUUCUGCUCCACAAAGAAGCUGUUGAAGGAAUUUUACGUAAAAGCAGUCUGUGCUUCUCCAAACAGCUGGAGCCAAAAAGCGCUGCUUCAGAAGCCCCAAAUCAGAGCUGCUGCUUUUGAAGUCCCAAAACUCAUUAAAGCAUUCAACAAAAACAGAAGCUACAGAAUUUUCUGUUUGCCAAACAGUGGCUCUUAUCCAUCAUAGAAGUAGUUCUAAAUAAAUGCUCACAGAGCAUGAUUGCCUUUUGCAUAUUCAAAGUUCCAAUCAAACCAAAAACCCUUGUCUUCCAAGCCAAAACAGAUUGAUGUAAAUGUUCUCUUAAAACAAACUAGCAUGCUUUGCUUUGCUAAAGCUGUUGCUUAUUCAUUGCCAACCUAAAUUAGCAAAACCAGGGGCGCAUCAGCAUCAUUUAAUUGCACUGCUUAUUAACUUAAAAUCAAAUUUUCUCACAUGUAGCGCUUCAGCAGCCCCAAGUAGCAAAAAUCCAACAUAUCAAGAAACCUGAUACUUACAGUCUCUGCUCGAAUGAAGCCUUUCUCAAAGUCCGAAUGAAUAACUCCUGCAGCUUGAGGUGCCGUCAUACCUAGUAGUAAAAAAUUAUUAGUUACAAAUUGACUGCAUUUAAUAGGAAGAAAUAGUCGGUAAGUGGGGAAAGAAAACCAACCAGCAAGUAUCGUCCAAGCUUUUGUUUCCUGAAGGGAAGGUAGAACAGAAACAAAAAUGAGAUGAUACCUAAUUGUAGAUUUAUCAUCAUAUAGGAAUGGUAGUUUAGAAGCUCCACCUUUUCUCCUGAUGUAAAGUAAGUCCUCAAACCCAAAAGAUUAUACGUCGCUCUUAUAAGAUUGCCCAGUCCACUUUCAUCAACACCAAGAGACCUCAAGUACUCAAUUCUCUCAUUUAAGGGAAGUUCAGUCAGCUCUGCUUCAACCUGAUUCCCAAUUAGGAAAAAGAACUGACGAAAUAAGCACUAGAACAUCCCUUCUGAUUCUUAAUUGAUUCCAAAUACAAAAAACAAAGCUGAUUCCUUUUCCUGAACAGAAGCUUAGAUAUUACGCAUGGCUUACAGAGCAUGUUGACAAUUUCAUUAAGCGCAACAGAAAUUAAGAAGAAUUUUUGCAUGAAUCACAUUAUAAUUUCAGGAAGCUGCAAUGUAAUAUGAGUAACAGAUAUGCUAUCAUCAUAAGCUUCUUCAGAAAAAAUAAAAUAAAAUAAAAGGAUUCAAUAUUGCUUGUCAUUAUUAACAGUAAAUAUUAGUUUAAGGAUAUGAUUGUACAGAAAUUAGUAAAUUACUGCUCCAUAUGUAUCUGCUUUGCCUUUAAAUGCAGAUGUCCAACCAAAACUUCAGUUCACACCACCUUUAUAUUUAGCCUUUAGUUGCAGGUACAGAAACAGAGCAAUAUUUUUAGGUUGCAGGUAUGGAAACAGAGCAAUAUAAACUUAAAUACAUGUAAUGCUUAGGCAACUAUUGAUGGAACUCAUAUCUACAAAAAAAAAAAAAAAAAAAUCAAAAGGUGUCUCUAGGACAUUAGACUGACAUAUAGCAACAAAAUUAUAUGAUCUGGAUUCUGGACAUCACUUUGUGAUCAAAGGGACAUUUAGUCAAGAUUAUCAACAAAACCUGUGCUGAAAUUGUAACCACCCCAGAUUGCAACUCUGAUGCAAGAUUUUCCACAUCCUUGACGUGAAGAUUACUAGAAGGUUCCGCAAGGUCAGACUCAGCCACAUUAGCCACAUAUAUCACAGGUUUCAUUGUUAGUAAACAGAGAUGCCGUAUAGAUUCUUUCUCAAGAUCCGUCAAUGAAACAGAUCUUGCAGGUUUUCCAUCCACUAGGGCCUUCUGAAUUUUUUCAAGUGCUGACCUCUCAGCUUCCUCCUGAAAUUAUUGAUCUGACAAUUAUGAGAAAGCCCAGAAACACAAUGACUUGCACCGUAUCUCCAUAUUUUGUAUAGUUUACCUUUAGUUUUGACUGGGAGUCUUUUGCUUUUCCUUUUUUAAGUUUCUCUAACCUUUUCUCUAUCUGCACUUCUUAAUAAAGAUAUAUAUCAGUCAUAUCAGUAGAAGGAAUAUUUACAAGACUUCCAGCAUAGAAAACAAGAACUGUGACAAAAUGUCUUUGGUGGAAAUUACCUUCAUACCUGGUCAAGAUCAGAGAAAACCAGCUCUAAGUUGAUGACAUCAAUAUCUGACUUUGGAUCAACUUUCCCAUUCACAUGAACAACGUCAUUGUCCUCAAAGCAGCGCACUACCUGUUAAACCCAGUAACCACCAAAAACGUCUAAACUAAUUGUGAUAAACAUCCACAACUAGUUGAGUAUCAACAUCAUCUGCUUGUGACUGUAGAUAAAUGAAGGACGCUAAUAGCUAAAUUAUACUGGAUCUCGCAUUCACCAUGAAGAUAUGCCAAUAUAUAGUUUUUAAAACCUUACUAACAUAGAUAUAGGAAUAAAUAUCACCUUAUCUACUAAGUUUUUAUCAUCAUGAUUAUAAUUACCAAUAUCAAAUAAAUGUAGAUCACGAAUUUAACACAAAAUUUAGAUGCACAGUGCAAUGAAAAAGAAAGAACGAGCACAUUGCAAGGAAAAUAACCUGGAGUAUGGAAUCAACUUCACGGAUGUGUGAAAGAAAUUUAUUCCCUAAUCCCUGUAAGAUAGGCAUUCAAUCAGAAGAACACAAUAGAAAUAAGCAUACACAUGCUAAAGGAACCCUAAAAAUCACAAUAUAUCUAAAUACCGGUGAACAUACCAGGAUAAGAGAGUGAAAUCAACUAAUUUUCCAUUAUGACAUGAUUCACUAUACAGUUUCAUAAACUGGACUAGAUGAUCCAGUUAUCAAGUUACACUUGAGUCAACAAGCACUUCAUCUAUAUAAUAACACGCCAUGGUACACCAUACACCAAAAGCAUAACAAGCGAAAAAGGUAUUCCUGCCAGAAGCUCGAAUCCUUGAAAUUUGAAUACAGUAAGGGUGUAAGAUACACUACAUCAGUAUUAGAAGGUUAGAGGUCAACUGUAGGCCCUAUAUGAAGACAAACCACUCCAAUCAAGAAUAGCAUACUUCUACUGGGAAGGAUAAUUAAUUGUCAAUACGACAAGACACAUUGAUAAUGAUUAAAGUUAGCAUUAUGGGCCACUUUUGCAUUUCCUAUAUCUCAUCCUAGAAAAUCAGCUUAGUUAGGAUAGUUGCAUAUAAUGGCAUCAAUCAAAAUAAUAACACAAGAAAGUUUCAGUAUACAAAUUUACAGACCGUCCCUCUGAACAGACUCAUGCUGAAUAUAACUAUUUGUGGACCGAAAAGAGUGCACAAGCAGCAAGAUGAACAACCAUUGUUCUAGAUUUCUUUGUGGGAUUGCGAUAACCAACGUAGCAUUUCAAAAUAAAAAAGGUUUCUCCAAUACUUUACUAGCAAACUCGAUGCAUACAAAUGUACCUACAGAGGCCACAAACUGGACCUAUCCAUAGUACAGACUACAGAGUCUCCAUGUAUAUCCAAAAAUGCUGAAUAUGCAGGAUUGCAUCUUAAACCAGGAAAAACAUUAUACCUGUUAGAACUAAAACCGAGAAGAUCUAGUUCGUCGGAUGCGAAAAUACCAAAAGAGAUCCGAGAAAGAGAGAAGAAACAUAAAGCACAUAAUAUUUACGUGGUUCGGCCAACGGCCUACAUCCACGGGCGAAGACGGAGCGGAGAUCUUCAUUAUAAUCAAAGUGGUGUACAAAAUAUGCCUCUCUCACAAAACCCUAAUCCCAAAAAUACACCCAUAUUCCCUCUCUCAUCUUUCGCACUAAACUAAAGGAAUAAAGGGUAUAUUUAUAAUAGUGGUUAAAUCCUAAUACAACUAGGAAUACAAAUCCACUAAGAUUAGGAAUAUCUCAAUAAAUUAGGCAUAAUCUAAACUUAAUUUAAUGGGGUAAUUAAAACAGAAUAGGGUUAGAAAACCUUGCGGUACUAGAAUUCGAGACAUAUUUAACAAUACCUCUCCUUGACUGGCUCCUUUGACAAGGCCGGCGAUAUCAACGAACUCGAUCGAUGCUGGAGCAACUUUUUGCGAUUUACUCAGCUCUGCAAGCACAUUCAAACGCGGAUCCGGCACACCAACAAUGCCGACAUUUGGCUCUAUCGUACAGAAUGGAAAAUUGGCGGCCUGCGCUUUCCCAUUCUCAACCUAAAAACCAUGAAUUAUUAUAAAUAACAACAUAUCAUCAUAUCAUCCAUCGUACAAAAUCCAGCUCUCAGAGACAAAACAUCAAACAGAUCGUUGCGUACAAGUUAAAAUGUAAAAACUGACUUGCUCGCGAAAUAUAUCAAAAAAAUAAAAGUGGAGACGAGUUUAUCAACUAGGGUAUCGAUUUGAAUGACAACGAAGUGACGCUGCGAAGUGUGGCGAGCUAGAUUUGAGAUUGGGGUGGGGUUUUGUGGGGGAGCUUACGACGGCGUUGAAGAGAGUGGAUUUGCCAACGUUGGGGAGGCCGACGAUUCCGGCCUUGAGGCUCAUGCUGAGGCGCGAGGCGGAGGAGGAGAAGAGGCGGCGCCAUUGCCAUUGGAGGAGGAGAGGGGAGGAGGAGCACGACGAGUAGGAGGAUGAGGCGGAGGAAGGGGCACGACUAAACCCUAGAAGAGUCGAUCCCAAAACCCUAGCCACGGCCAUCGAGGUGCUUGUGGUGGCCGCAGCGGGCGAGGAAGAAGAAGAGGAGGAGAGGGCGGAGGGAGCGACGUGGAAAGGGGUGUGGCUUUACAGGCUCGAAAAUGGCGCACGUACGAGAUAAAGAGGCGGUAAAGGGAACAGGAUAUUUUGGCGUGUGCUAAGCACGUGACACGCUAAUUUAAUUAAAAAUUAUAAAAAUAUUAUCACAUACGAGCAUACAGCUACAUAGGUGCGUGAAUAAAAUUUUUUAAAAAUUUAAAAUUUAAUAUAUAAUUAUCAAAUAUUGUAUUAAAAAAAUUAUUUACUGGAUCAUUUGCUAAUAAAUAUAAAAUUGAAAACAUUGUUGUAAUUAAGGUGGAGGUGAAAUUUUAGCGCAAAAAUAGAACACAAGAUGUAAUCUAAAAAUUUUGGUUUCUCAAAUCUCUAGUAAUAUUAUAUGAGUGAGGUUACGAUGCUUCUAAAAACACGAAGCUUUCCGUGCUUUUAGGUCGUUUUCGAUGUUGCGACUUUCGAAUUGUCGAUCGGCUCCGUUAAACUUGAUCUAGAGUAUUUGAAAUAUCUAGAAUUAAAAUAAAUUUUAUGAUUUUUCGAUAUCAUUUGCCUAGUGAUCGAAGGGGCUCAAAAUCAAUAAUUUUAAUAGCCGUAGUGAGCCGUUCGCAAGUUUAAUGGUGUAAAAAUAUCCAAAUAACGUAAAAUUUUGAUAGAAAAUUUUUUAUACUAUAUAAAAUAAGAUGAAUAUCUUUGAUCUAAAAUUUUAAUGUCAUAUUAUCAUAUUUUGUAAUAUUUUUAUCUUCAGCUGUUGAUUUUGAGCCCCUUCAUUCACUAGGCAAAUAAUAUCGAAAAAUCGCAUAAUUUAUUUUCUAGGUACUUCAAAUACUCUAGAUCAAGUUUAACGGAGCUAAUCGACGAUUCAAAAGUCGCAACAUGAAAAACUACCUGGAAGCACGGAAGGAGCGUGCUUCCAGAAAUAUAGUAGCCUCACUCUAAUGUAUUUGUAUAUUUAUGCAUAUGACUAUGUUAGUUAAUUGUUCCUUAUGUGAGUGAAGUUACUUGCAUAAAACUGUUGUUGAAUUCACAAUUAGGUGCUAAUUAUGUUCCUAUGAUAAUUUUACUAAAUUUAGUGAAGAGCAAUGCUAGAUUUGCAAUCCAAAAUAGACUAUAACUCAAAACACACCCAUACAACAGCUAAUUUAUCUCCACUAAUCUUAUUAUUUUUUAUACUAAAAAUCAAGAAGAGAUUAAUAAAUUCUUGGCACUCUUGGAUGAUGACUUUUAGAAUUAUAAUAAUUUUUGUUAUUUCAGACUUUGCAUUUUUUUUUCUUUAAUAUAACCACAGGGAGUCCAAAUUAUUUCGUUCCUCCAUGCGAUCAAGUGCUAUUCCCAUGUGCCUCUUGAUCCCAUAUAUUUAAAAAAAUCGGUUGAUUAAGGUCUUGUUUGUAGUAAUCGUAGGAUGUAAUAUUAUUCAACUAACAAUUUUUUAUAACACAUGAUCAAAAAAAUAUUUUAUAUAAUAUUAGAUACAGAUUAUAAUUCUUUUUCUAACAGUAGAUUUUAAGAGCAUGACUUUGGUAUCGUAGAGUCAUGGUCGAAACCUAAAACUCCAUACGUUAAUGAGAGCGGAAUCAAUGAAACUAUUAGAUUGCUAAAUUCCAUGUUAUACCUUUAUGUAAACAAAUACACUCUAAGCCACUGUUUGGCUCGGGGUUAAGUAAAAACUUAUUAUUUCAGGAAUAAAGUUAAGUUCAGAAUUAAGGUGGGAUUGGAAUAAUUUUGUGUUUGAUUGAGAAUUAGAUUUAGUCCAGUAUAAAUAAAAUAGUAUUUGACUGGAGUAGAUGGGAUAAGAAGGAUAGUGGGUAAAAUAGUAUUUUAUUUGGUUGGAAUAGUGGGGUGGAAUGCCCACCCCCUAAAUUGGGUGUUUGGGAAUAACUUCGGAGUUAUUCCACCUUUAACCCUGAACCAAAGAGGUGCUAAGAUUUAAAAAAAAAAGAAUUUAAAAUUUUGAAUACAGGGUGCAGCUUAAAAAGUCGGAGUACCCAAAAGUAAUUUCGACCAAGAAUUCGGAUGUUUAUUAUUUUCUUUUUAACCAUUUAUUUGUACGAUUAAAUUAAAUUCUCCUCGCGCAUCACACAAACAAUUAGGGACAUUACAUUGCUGCAUUGUUACCUUCUCCGAGUGGUGCAAUAAUUUUAAUUUAUUUUNACCCCAUUAAAGGCACAAAAUUUUAACGAUAUAUGAAUGGACCCAGUCCACGAGAAUAACUGUGGAUUCUCCAUUGUAUUUAGUAUCUUUUCCAUCUCUUAUUGCAUUUUUAUUAUUUUUAAGCAAAGUGAGUGAGUAAGUGAAUAUUUCUCAAAUAUAAAUUUAUUAUCUUUGUUGCACACAAAUCGAUACUAGUACGCAAUUAGAAAUUUUGAUUUCGAAUUUUGCUAUCGCUUUUUAUAGCUAAAGUUUAUUAAAUUACUGUCAAUUUAGAGUCUUUACUAUAUACGCGAUUAAAUAAAAUAUAUUUUUUAGUUUAAGAGGAUAGCACCUUCAUAUUUUUAAUUAUGUUCUCGAGAAAAAAAAAACUAUUGAUAAAUUUUAAUAUAAUGCUUCGUUUAUAGUACUAGUAUUGACUAGUAUUGAAGUCAAUAUUGUAAAUAGAAAAGAAGCAGAGUAAUAUGCGGUCCUAUGGACGAUUCAGUGAACCAAGUUUAGCGGAUAUUUUAUCAAUAAUGAGAGCCGACCCUUUUCUAGUAUUAAUAUUUUGGUAAAAAUAAUUGGAAAACUUUUAACUGUAGGUGGAUUUGAAAUGUCUCGGUCGGUCUUUAUUUUAUUUUAUUUGAUCAAUACUUUGGUUUUCUCUUGAUUUUUUGAGAUUAAAUAAUUAUAAUUAAAAAUAUUAAAAAUUUUAUAAAGUUUAAUAUUAUCAAAUAGCGUGUGAAAAUUCUUAUAAUGAAAGAUGAAAUUAAAAAUUUAAAUAAGCAAAUAUUAUAGAUAUUCACUCAAUAUAAUUUUUUUUAUUAUUGAGACCUCUUUAUUUUUAAAAUUUUACAAAGUAGGUAAUUUUAGCUAAAAGUUGUAAAAAAUAUUAAAUUCAUUUAGUAAUUUUAUCAAAUUUAAUAAUUUAAUAAUUUAAUAAAUAAAAUUGGAUAACUUUAUAAUUAAUAACUAAUAAAGUGUUUAACUUAACUAAAUAUUAAAAUUAAAUAAAAAAAAAAGUUAAGGAGGCGGUUUGCGAAGUUCCUCGAGUGGAGGGGGUCUGAUACAUUUUUACCUAUUUAUUUAUUUUGGCUCAGGCUAUAAAUCUACUUCUCAUUAUUUCACCUCGCUCCAUAAAUGCUACUCCACCGCCCUCGCACACCAUCUCUCUCUCUCUCUCUCUUUUAAUUUUUUUUUUUCUUCUUUUUUCUCGGGGGAAGAGAGAGAGAAAGAGAGAGAAGAGAGAGAGAGCGAAGGUGAGUGUCGAGGAAGGAAGCUAAAACUCUUCUCUCCACGAAACUCCUCUCUCUCUCUCUCUUUCUCUCUCUACGAUACUCGUUUCCUUUCUCUCUCCUCGUUCUCCACUCCACCUCUCUCUCUCUCUCGCGCGGUCGCGUCUCUCUCUCAUCCCUCAUCUCAGAUCUCUUGGCGAGAAACCCUAAUCGGAUCGGAGGAACCCUCUCUCUCUCCCCGCCUCUAGAUGGUCAUGGUCUUCGGAAUCGUGUGAUGCCCACGGUACUUCUCUGUUCGAUUGCUUGCAGUGCUAGGCUUUUAGCGCUCGAGGCGAGAUGAUGAGGGGAGUUGAUGGCGAGGGUGGGGUUCCUCAGAACCCUAACCCUGUUGCCGAUCUCGGGGAGUUUGGCGACCCCGCGGAAGGUCAAAUCGCUCCCCUGGAUCUGUUGUGUUCUUUUGUUUCUUUUUUUUUUUCUUGAGUCUUGAUCUAUGUUUUGUGGUGUGAUUCCUUUACCCCAUUGAUUUACUAUUUUGCUCUCGUGUUGAGAUUUGGUGAUGUUUGUUCAUUGAUUUCUUGCAAGAUAUAUUGAUUGCUUAUGCCGGUUCUUUCUAGUUUGGGAAUUAGCCCGCAGUACUUUUAAAUUACUUCUUACUAGAUUUUCUUUUUUUUUUUUUUUGGUGGAUAGACUAUUUGAUGGUAGAUUCCUAUAGCUGUUAAUCAGAGAUUGCUGUAAUAAAUGUUCAUUUUAUUGGAUUUAUGUGAAGGAGAAUAUUUUUGUCUUGAUUGGCAUGUAACAGUGUUUGGAAUGACAUUCGUGGGUUUGAAAUUUCUAGCUAUUUAGCUGGAAUUCGGCGAGCUUACAUUAUGAGCGUCGGCCAAUUGAUUUUCGAACUUAGUAUGUUUGUUGCAGUUGCAAUGUUAUCAUAAUUUACUCCUUAGUCUACAGAAGAAUUUAAGCAAAGUUUGCUAGUUAACUCUUCAACUGGUUUCAAUUAGUCUGUUCUUCUUAGUUUUUGUAGGGCUGGCGGUUUCUUGUCGCUUUUCUGUUAUUUUUAUAAUACCGGAAUGGUGAAUCCAUGUUGUGCACAUCAUUACGACAAACCUUUACUUGUCCCUUCCACGUGCCUGAUUGUUAAGUAGACGGCUGCUGUAUUGCCUUUUUAUUUUUUUGGUAUACUGAAUAUGCAUGUACCAGAUGAAUGUGCAUGUUCGUUGGCUGAUCUAUGCAUGUUCAUCUUUUCUGUUUAUUCUAGUCAGUAGAUAAUGUGUUUAAACUUUUUUUUUCUCCUUUUUUUUGGGCAGGGAACACCUGUUUUGAUGCUUCACAGUAUGCAUUUUUUGGCAAUGAGUUGAUGGAGGAAUUUGAACUAGGGGGGUUAGGAGAUGCUAAAGAAGGUGAUGGUGCUGCUGGAUUUGGGCCUUAUGAUGAGGAAUACUGUUUUUCUUCUGUUGGCAAUAGAGAAGAGGUAAGUCUCACAGCAGGAAUUAAGUAACAUCCUAAUUCCUAUCGAACUUUUGUGCUGGCUGAAUGCAUAAAAUGUCUUAUUAGUUCCCAAGUUUAGAGCUAUGCACUCUGUCUCAUUUCAAAGGCUUUUUUAUUGUUCCGAGUUAUGGAAUACUUGACGUUACAUCUUUCUGUUUACCGUUAUUUUUUGAAACAUUAUGCAUUUUAUGCAUAUAAGAUUUUGGAACGUUUUAGAUUAAAGUGACAUUUUUGAUUGAACUAAGUUUCCAAAUCCUGAAGACAUGUAUGAAGAUUUAUCUUAUAUAAUUACAUUGCUACCGGUCACUUUUUGAGCACUACAUUUGAUGUUUUAUGACGAUCUGACAAGUCUUAAGAAGUUUUUUCCUGUUGCAUUUGCAGGAUGAAGUUUUAGGUUCGCUGUCUGACAUUGACGAUCUUGCAACCACUUUUUCAAAGGUUUGCGUCAGGAUUUAUUAUCAUUACUUCUUCAGAGCUUCAAUUUGCGCAUCACGCUUGAUAACUUCAAUUUUAUUUGGUUAUCUACACCUCUUCUUGAUAUUCUCAUCAUUGACAAUUGCAGAUUUGUAUUAGUAAAGGGCAGUUGUGAGAAAAGUUUUUAGCCAAUUAGUUUCAUUUUUCUCUCUUUAAUAUGUAUGCUCUCUAGCUGUUAUUGACUACCCUUUUUAGUUGUCUAUUAUGUUUAAGUUUACAUAAUAAUACAUGCAAACUUGUUCUAGGUGUUUUAAAUGCUUAUCCUCAAAACUUCUGUCUCUUUUUUUUUUUUUAAAUUCUAAUUCUUGAUCAAAUUGUGGUAUAGUUGUUAUUUGCUGCCCAUUGUUCUAUAAUACAUUAUUGUUCAUGUGGAAACAAUUUAUUGAAACUCACGUAUCUCUGCCUUCGUUAUCUCACAGUUACUAAAAAUAAAUAAUAUCUAAAUUUUACACAUGCAACCAAAUUCUGAUCAAAACCUUUAUUCCCUUAUUGAUUCUUAAUAAAGCUUUCCUGAAUUAUCUCACAAGUUUCCUAGAAAAUGGUUUAAAUCUACUGUAGAAUUACUUAAUUAUUGGAUAUUCCUUAUUUUACAUGCUUUAGCAAAUGUUUCUUGAACUUUUUUUUUUCUUACAAAUAUCAUUGAAACAACAGUUGAUUUUGUGGAGAGGGAUGGUAAAGGGCCUACUUUCUGUGUUUGAGAAUUUAUUUCAGAUUUCCUCUUUUGGGGGUGAGCUGGUGCUGAUUCUUAUUGAUUAUUGUUUACUGUUCUCUCAAAUACAUACCAUCGUUAGGCACAGCAUUUAGACCUAUGAGCUUGCAAACAUUUAAAAUCUUACCAUUUCUUACUAUUGAAGAUUGGAGGUUCGAUUGCAUGCAUUACAUCCAUUUUGUCAACAAUCUAUUCUCUCUUUUAGUCAUCUAUGAUCUACUUAUUUUAAGCGGUUAAUGAACCCUGUUCUUAUUGACUCGGUAUUUUUUUUUUUCCGUCUUCUUGCCUCGAUCAGUUUUUGCGUUGUGUUUUGAGUUAGAUAUUUAUGGUGUCUUCAUAAUUGUGCUUGUCUUAAGUCACUUUGCUUCCUUCUUUAGAAUAAUAUUCUUUCUGGCUUGCAGUUGAACAGAACUGUUGGUGAACCAAGGAAUGCAGGGGUUAUUGGUGAUAGAAGAUCUUUUUCAAGAGAAAGUGAGUGAUAAUUUUAUCUUAUACUCUGUAGGUUACAACAUUUUUUAUGUUCAGCUGUAAUAGCAAUAUGGUUGGCAUAUUGCUUUUACUUGGUCUAGUAUCUCUUCCAUUCUUGUUAUCCUUCUUUCAUUCUCCAGCUAGAUAUAAUCCUCAAUCGAUCUUUCACAUUAGCAAUAGUGCCAAGUUGACAGAAGUUACCGUUUUCUUGAGUAAGCAUAUGAUAAGGACGAAAUGAUCACUUGAAGUAUGUCAUGUUGCUGUCACCGGCAGUGUAAGUGGAGUGGAAUAAUGGUUGUACAUCAAAGAAGUGGAAAAUCGAAAUCAAAAGAGUCCCGGGAAAUUCUUAUGGUAUUUUUUUGUCCUGUAAUAAAACACUUGAAGAACAAAUGUACCAUCUGCUUUUUCCUUGGGCUCAUUUGGUUCUCAAAUAAUCACCUCUUUAUGUAAGUGCCCAUGUUGUAUAGGAAACACCUAUCAAAAGGGACACAUAGUUCAAAGAGAAUGAUUUAGUAUGUGUACCAUGAUUUUGAAUAUUUGAAUUCUGAACUGAUACAUAAAAUGUCAGAAGAUCUUGUAUGAGAUUAAUGCAAAUCGACUUUUGUGAUUGGAAAAUAGUAAUGUCGUUAAAUCUGCCAUACUUUCAUAAAUUGUAAAUUUUUUCGUGUCGUGUUGUAUACUUUGAUUAACAUGUCAACCUUUGGUAUUAUGUUAAUAACAGUACUAAUUAGGCACUAAACAUUUUAAUGCCUUUUCUUUAGGUUCUUCAACUGCUGACUGGACUCAGGAAUCAGACUAUCCAAAUUGGAGAGAUCAGUCUAUACUCGAUGCUGAGUUCAUUCAAGAAGGUAAACGGUGGAGUUCACAGCCGCAUCCUUCUUCAUCCACUCUUUCAGAUUCCGAAGAAUUGCACAGAACCUCUUCGUAUCCUCAGCGACCGCUGCAACAUCAAACAAGCGAACCAAUUCUUGUACCCAAGUCUCCGUUUACUUCCUAUCCUCCGCCAGGCGGACGGUCUCAUCCCUCAUCAAACCUCACACGCCAUGCAAGCAUUCCAUCUCUCUCUGUUGACCUGCAGAUGCAGAUGCUUCCAAAUAUGUCUCCUUUUCCAGCAUCUCAUCAUCAUUUAGCUGGAUUACCUCAUGGAAUGCAUUAUGGAGGAGAUUGGUCUUUCAGCCCCUUAAAUAUUCCGACUACUAACCGGCGGCUAAACAGCUGGCCAAACCAAGUUAACCUCUUUUCUGCUGAUCAUCCCAAUAUAGUACCUAACUUGUUACAACAGCAAUUACCUCAUCCAAAUGGUUUAGUGCCGCCACUACUAUUGUCUCAGCAGCAACAGAGAUUACAACAGCUCCAGUCAUCUCUUCUUCAGUACCCACGUUUGCAGUCUCAAUUAUUCAACCAGCUUCAUCCACCACAAUUGGGGGACCAAAGGUCAAAGCCAUCUCAAGGGGGAAGACAGAAAAUGCGCAAGUCUCAACAGUCUUCUGAUACAAUUAGCCAGAGGACCGAUAGUGGGCGGCCACAAUUUAGAUCCAAGUACAUGUCAGCUGAUGAGAUAGAAAAUAUCUUGAAAAUACAGCAAGCUGCAACUCAUAGCAGUGAUCCUUACAUUGAUGAUUACUACCAUCAAGCUUGUCUUGCAAAGAAGUCUGCUGGCUCCGGGCUGAAGCACCAUUUCCACCCAACAUCCAUAAAGGAUGUGCCUUCUAAAUCACGAAACAGCCAUGAAAAACAUGCAUUCCUUCAAGUCGAUUCACUUGGGAGGUUCUCUUUCUCUUCUAUUCGCAUGCCUCGCCCUCUCCUCGAGAUAGACUUGCCUUCUACUUCGGAUGAUGGUUCUGUUAAGUCCCUAGAACAAGAGCCUAUGUUAGCAGCUAGAAUCACCAUUGAAGAUGGCCUUUGCCUUCUUCUUGAGGUAGAUGACAUCGAUCGACUGUUAGAGGUCACCCAGCCACAAGAUGGCGGUUUCCAACUUAGACGGAAAAGACAGCUUCUCCUAGAAGGUCUUGCGGCAUCACUUCAACUCGCUGAUCCUCUUGGCCCAACUAAACCUGAGCUCGCCCCGAAGGAUGAUCUCAUUUUUCUUCGUUUAGUUUCUCUUCCAAAAGGCCGGAAGCUCCUUUCACGCUACAUUCAACUUCUCAGCCCCGGAAGCGAGCUUGCACGUAUAGUCUGCAUGGCCAUUUUUAGGCAUCUGAGGUUCUUAUUUGGUGGUUUAUCAAUAGAUACUAGUGCGGCAGAAACCACAACGAAACUUGCGAGGACUGUUUCUUUGUGUGUUCAGAGUAUGGAGUUAAGUUCACUCAGUGCUUGCCUUGCUGCUGUGGUCUGCUCCUCUGAACAGCCGCCCCUUCGUCCACUCGGUUGUUCUGCUGGUGAUGGAGCAUCCAUAAUCAUCAAAACUGUUCUUGACAGAGCAACAGAACUUCUGACCAAUUCCCUCACAACAAACAACUAUUCUGUUUCGAACCGAGCUUUAUGGCAGGCGUCAUUCGAUGCUUUCUUUGGGCUUCUCACCAAAUAUUGUUUGAGUAAAUAUGAUAGUAUAUUGCAAAUGUUUCUCAUGCAGUUAUCAAACGCUGCAGCACUUGAAUCCGAGGUGAGCAGAGCUCUGAGUAGGGAGAUGCCUUUCGAGUUGCUUCGUGCUGGUCUUCCUCAUACGAAUGAGCAGCAGCGUGAUAUGCUGAAUAGGUUCGCUCAGAGAUCUAUGCCUGCCUUUGGUUUUCGCGUUCGUGGUGGUGGCAGUGGGGCUAUUACUUCUGAAUCAGUUCCCAGUUAAUGCACAUGGAAAGAGAGAGAAUCAGCGAAGGUAUCUCGCUAGUGUUGAUUCUGUCCAUAACAGAGGUUAUGACCAUCUAUGGCUUUCAGGUGACCCUCGUAGCUUUUCAUUUCGCUCUUAUGCUUGUUAGCUAAUAUUUACAUCUUUGUAGACUGGUGGACAAAAUGUUCAUCCGUACAUACUAUUUUAGAGCUCGUAUGUUAAGUUGUUACGGAAACUUUCUCCUGGGCACUUAGUUAUAAUGCCGCUCUGCAUUAGCACUGGAUAUAGUGGGGCAUAGUUGUACAGGAUUCUCAUGCUGCAACCUUCCUAUCUGUUCUUUUUAAGGAGAAGGAAGCUGCGAAUAGAAUAGCUCUUUCUAGUUUUGGUUUGGCUGGCGAGGAUAGCUUCUGUUUGGUUAAAAACUUGAUGUGAUGUUGGUAUACUGGGCAUCUGGAAAUGUCAUUGUUCUGCCCUUUUUAUGUAAUCUGUUUUGUGAUGAAGCAUCGAAACAUUUACGAAUUGUUAAUUUCUCUACGAAUGAACUUUUUUAAUAAUGGACAAUGUGAACAUGUAAUAUUUCACUGUUUGUUUAUUUGAUUGGCCGUAGUUGUUCUAUCAUUACAAGUGUAAAUCUGUGAGUAUGCACUAUUUAAACAAUUAAACAGUGCAGCAAAUUAUCCAGAGCACCUAUGAUGUUAAGUUACUGCUCAGUGACUCUAAGCCAAUUUCGAAAUGAUCAGCUGAAUAAUUUGGAUGGUGGUGGUGAUCUUGGUUGCCUAAAUGUUGUUCUCCGGGAAGCCACUUUUGUAUGUCAACUGGCUGUUUCAGGUGAUGUUUCUAGUUCUCGCUCUGCUGCAAAUUCCGAGGAAAAUUUUUCUUGUUAGUGAUGGGGAAAACGUUAGUUUUAAUCUUCUUUUUUGUUCGAGAGCUUUUGAUAAAGAAGCUUUCUUUCUUCUGUAUUUUUGUUUUUUACUUUUUGGGUUGUGGAGAGGGAGGGAAGUGGGGCGGUUGUGUGUGAAUUGGGGCCUGGAAGCUUGGCUAGAACUUGUAUUCAAUCUCUUUCUAUUAAAGAGGAUCUCGUGAUGCUUCUGUUAGCAUCGCUAAACAAUACAAUUGGGAGUAGCCAAGUUGCCUUUUUUUUUGCCCAAGAGCAAUCUACAGCCCUUAACAGCUUUAGAAGCCUAACACUCUUUGCCAAGUCAGCAUGGAAGCAGAAUUUUAUUUUACAAGACUGUGUCCUAUUCACGGUCUUUUUAAAAAAUUUUUUUUAUAAUUUUUUUUUAUGCUAUAAAGAUUCUAUAUAAUUUAUUAAUUAAAAUUUGUAUAUGAUUGUUACGAUUAUAUAUAAAAAAUAAAAAAAAAUAAGGUUGUGAGAAUUGUAUGUAGAUUAUUUAGAGUUUUUAUUUGAUUGUUAAAGUUGUAUGAAUAGAUUAUUAAAAAAUUUUAGGUUGUUAAGAUUUUAUUAAUUUGUUGAAAUGUUUUUUUUUUUUUGAGAGAUAGGUAGCACGCUAUCCGCUUCGUUUAUUUCAUUUAAAAAUAAACUUAGCUGGAAAUGUGAAUCAACUAGGAUUCGAACUUGAGACCUCAAGUACCAACCAUCCACUUGUUUUAGGGUCGGUCGGUAUUUGUUGAAAUGUUUAUAUGAUUUUUAGGAUAUAUAUGAAAAAUAAAAGGAAAGAGACGGUGAUUUGUAUGAAAAAUUAAAAGAGGACGAAUCGUUCAUCGUUUUCAUAAAAACUAUAAGUUGUUGGCCGUCUUUAAAGAAAAUUUUAUCCUGAAGCUUUUUUUACAAAAAAAAAAAUAAUAAUAAUAAUAGUUUGCCGAAAUAUUUUCAGAGGGUUAUUUAUCUGAAUUUUUAUAAGGUUUAUUUCGAAAAAAAAAGAAAAGAAAAAAGGGUCCCAUUUUAACCUUGUUCGCGAAUCCUUGUGACGGUUCAAAUUCUACGCAUCCAAGCUCCAAACGAGGGAGACCCCAAAGGCUAUGUGAGAGAAGCCGAUGAGCUGCAAACUCAAAUCCGCGGGCGACGGAGCAGCCCUUGUUUUCCACCAGAAUCUGAAGCUCACGCAUCUUGCCAAAUGCGGCCGCCUCGACGAAGCCGUCGCCGUCUUCAACGCCAUGAGCACCCGCAACACCGUCACCUACAACUCCAUGAUCUCCGCCUACGCCAAGAACGGCCGAGUCGCCGAGGCGCGGCGCCUCUUCGACGCCAUGCCCUCCCGCAAUUUGGUUUCCUGGAACACCAUGAUCGCCGGGUACUCCCACAACCAAUUCGUUCUCGCAGCCUCUAACCUGUUCGAUAGAAUGCCCGAAAGAGACAUCUUUUCGUAUUCCCUAAUGAUUACCUGCUAUGCACGAAAUGGUGAAUUGGAGAAGGCGCAGGAACUGUUCGAUAGAAUGCCUGCCGAGAAGAGCUCGGUUUGCUACAACACACUGAUAUCGGGAUAUGCAAAGAGUGGGAGGUUCGAAGAUGCUGUACAGUUGUUGAAUAAAAUGCCUUCUCAGAGCUUGGUUUCCUGGAAUUCGGUGCUCGCCGGGUACACGCAGAACAAGAAGAUGGGUUCGGCUUUGAAAUUCUUUGAGCAAAUGCCGGCGAAAGAUGUGGUGUCUCAAAACUUGAUGCUUGAUGGGUAUGUUCGGAUCGGGGACUUGGACUGCGCUUUGGAGUUUUUUAGGAGGAUUGACUCGCCGAAUGUUGUUUCUUGGGUGACUAUGAUAAGCGGGUAUUGUAGGAGUGGCAGGAUUUUUCAAGCUAGGGAGUUGUUCGAUCAAAUGCCGGAGAGAAAUGUUGUCUCAUGGAAUGCGAUGAUUGCAGGGUAUGUGCAAAGUUUGCAGAUAGAAGAGGCUUACAAAUUGUUCAUGGAGAUGCCGGAGAAGAAUGCAAUUUCAUGGACAACGAUGAUAAAUGGAUAUGUUCGUAUUGGGAACCUCGACGAAGCUUGUAAAAUGCUCGGUAAAAUGCCUUUCAACAGUGUGGCAGCAGAAACUGCAAUAAUGAAUGGCUAUGUUAGGAAGGAAAGAAUGGAUGAUGCUCAUCAAAUUUUUAACCAAAUAAGAGCACAGGAUGCUGUAUGUUGGAACACGAUGAUUUCAGGCUAUGCACAAUGCGGACGAAUGGAUGAGGCCGUGGAUUUAUUCGAGCAAAUGCCAAGGAAGGAUGUUGUGUCGUGGAAUACUAUGGUAGCAGGUUAUGCUCAAUGUGGGCAAAUGAGCAAAGCUAUAAGCAUUUUUGAACAGAUUGGUCACAAGAAUACCGUGUCAUGGAAUUCUAUCAUCUCUGGUUUCGCGCAGAAUGGCUUCUACGCGGAAGCACUUCUUUAUCUCGUGCUCAUGAAAAAGGAGGGGAAGAAGCCCGAUUGGUCUACUUUCGCUUGCGGCUUAAGUGCUUGUGCAAACCUUGCGGCUUUGCAAGUAGGUAAGCAACUCCACGACCUCCUACUCAAAAGUGGGCACAUUACCGACUUCUUCGCUGGCAAUGCCUUGAUAACCAUGUACGCUCGUUGUGGAAGGAUCCUACAAGCAAGACGGGUCUUUAAUGAAAUGGCGGUCGUUGACGUUAUUUCAUGGAAUGCUUUGAUUGCUGGCUUUGCCUUAAAUGGUGAUGGAAGAGAGGCAAUUUCACUCUUUCGAGAGAUGGGGCGAAAUAAUGUUAGUCCCGACGAGGUAACAUUUGUUGGUGUUCUCUCGGCAUGUAGUCAUGCGGGAUUAAUCGAUGAAGGACUAGCCUUGUUUGACUCUAUGAGCAAAGAUUACUCUAUUAGACCUGUGGCUGAGCAUUAUGCUUGUAUUGUUGAUUUGCUUGGGAGAGCAGGGAGAUUAAUGGAAGCAUUUGGAUUAGUGAAGCAAAUGCCAGUCGAGGCAAAUGCUGGAAUAUGGGGAGCUUUACUUGGGGCUUGUAGAAUUCACAAGAACCGUGAGCUAGCUAGAUUCGCUGCGCCGAAACUGUUUGAGCUUGAGCCACAUAAGACUUCGAAUUAUGUGUUAUUGUCGAAUAUAAAUGCGGAAGUGGGUAGAUGGGAUGAGGUUGAAAGAAUGAGGGUUUUGAUAAAAGAGAGGGGAGUGCAGAAGCAACCGGCGCGCAGCUGGAUCGAGAUAAAGAAUAAGGUUUGUUCCUUCUCGGCCGAUGAUUCAGCAGAGACAAGGACAAGUGAAGUAUGUAGAGUUUUGGAGGAGCUAAGCGCGCAAAUGAGAGACACAGGGAUUUUCCCCGAUUCGUCUGUACUAGAUUGUGGAUGAGCAUCCAAAUCCUGUUACUGUUGUCUAACAGAUGAAUCAGAAAAGAGACUGUUCCCGUAGCAUUCAAAUCGACUCAACCGCAUGCAGUUGAGUCGCAUCAUGAACCUUUUGAGUCAUUUGAUUUCAUUUACAAUCUGGUAGAAUUGUAUAUUGUACAGUUUCACCACAGCCUCUGCUGAUGAUGGUUUAGUUAAAUCGUUGAGUAAGAGAGACUGCAGAACCUUGUCAUGUAAAUAUGCAAAUUUAUACAACUCAUUAAAUGUGCAAUUUAUGCUGUUAUUGUCUAUGGUAAAUAAAGUCUUUCAUGCUGGCAUAUUAUCAGAAAACAAUUCUCUUUAAUGCAAGAAACAGUUUAUACAUUAGUAUAUAAUGCUAAACAAUUGGUACUGAUACAGAGUAUUUUCAAAUAUUAAACAAAAUCAAGAGGGUUCAUACAAAAUUUGUUCUGCUAAAGAAUUAAAUAAUCUAUAGUCUGGUCAAUCUAGAUGAGCAUUCCAUCAAAAUCAGUCCUUUCUGCUACAUUAAUUGCUUAACAUGCUGUGGUUCUCUUCAAUAAUCGGAGUUUUCUCCCUUGAAGUCGAUUAAUCUUUGAUUAGAAAAUGAAUGAUCAUUAUCAGUACUUCAUCCCUGGCACUGAUGGAAUUUCGUCGAUAUCGCUUUGAUUGUCCUGAAUGCAUACUUUUUGAGGCCAUAUUCAAGUCCUGUUUGUUCAUCUUUGCCUUCAAAUUUCUCCAACUUGUAACAUAUCAACCCUAUCUUCUGAAAUUUGUUCUUGGGCUUCAACCCAACUCAUUCCGGUAUCCUUUCUUAUCCCUUGAUCCCUCAUCAUUGUGCGAAUGUGAGCCUUUCUAUCCCACAUGCCCAUUGAAGCAUGGAUACUCGCCAAACUAACAUAAGGGGAAGGAUCCUCUGGUCUCAUUUCCAAUACCUUCUUCGCUGCGAAUCUUCCAAGUUCUACAUAUCCAUGGACUUUGCAAGAAGUGAGAAGUGUUUCCCAGACCAGUCGGUCCGGUUCACAUGGCAUUGCAUCAAUAAACUCAAUUGCAUCAUUGAGCCUACCUGCUCGACCAAAUAGAUCGACCAUACAAGCAUACUGCUCCAUCUUAGGCUCCAGUUCAUACUCGGUGCUCAUUUGUUCGAAGUACUCGCAACCCUCUUCGACAAGACCCAUUCGGCUACAAGAAGCUAGGAUUCCCGUGAAAGUAUAGUCGUCGGGUUUAAUGCCUUCUUCCUGCAUCAAAACAAAGAGCUUCAAAGCGUCGUUUUCAUGUCCAUGUUGCGAAAAGCCAUUGAUCAAAGCAUUCCAGGAGACGAUAUUUCUUUCGGGCAUUAAGAAGAAAACUUUCAACGCAAAAUCCACAUUUCCACACUUAGCAUACAUAGUUAUCAGGGAAUUCUCAACAGAUAAGUUAUCACCAAUCCCCAAUUUUACAGCCUUUGAGUGGAUUUGCUGGCCCAUUUGAAGGUUGGUAAGAAUCGAACAAGCCCUAAGAGCACCGGUUACACUGAAGACGGGCGCGCUCAGCCCUUCUCGAAGCAUUCUCCUGAAUAAGAUGAGUGCUUCUUCUCCACAAUCAUUUUGCCCAUAACAUGUCAAUAAUGCAGUCCAAGAGAUAAUAUCUUUAUCUCUCAUCUGCUGGAAUAAUCUAUCUGCGCUUUUGACAUCACCGCAUCUCCCGUAAAGAGAAAUAAUUGCAUUGGCGGUUGAUACAUCUGAAAUGAAUCUACUUCUCACAGUGUAGCAAUGAAUCUCCUUUCCCGUUGCUAAUUGUCCUAAAGAUGCGCAUGCCACAGCUACACUAGUUAUCACAGAUGGGUCAAUUGCCACUUUUUCGUCAAUCAUCUUUUGAAACACAUCGAUCGCCUCUUUGUUGUAUCCAUUUUGCAUGAAAGAUACGAGCAACGAAGUCCCUGAAACAACAUCGCGACUCAGUCUCGUAGAGAGUCUGAUUAUUUCAUCCACUCCUCCGCACUUCCCAUACAUAGAGAUCAGGGCACUACCUAAUAGGUUAUCGACUUCAAUUCCAAGCUUCACUAUCCACCCAUGAACUUGUUUACCUAUACCAAGCUUACCUGGUUUGUCGAAGAUCUUAAGAAGACUAGAAAAGGUCAUUCCAACCGGCCAAACUUUCCAGCGAAUCAUGUCCUUGAAGAGAUCAAGUGCGGAUUUUUUGAACAUAUACUGCUCGCUAUUGGCAAAACAAGUGAUCAUACUAGUCCAACUCACGACAUCCUUAUAAGAGGUUUGAUCAAAGACCCUCCAUGAACUCUCAAUCUCCCCGCACUUUGCGUACAUGUCGAUCAACGUCCCUGCUACGAAUGAAUCAUACUCCACACCAAAUUUAAUCGUGUGGCAAUGAAGCUGAAUCCCUGUUCUCGAAUCCCUCGCGCGAGCGCAGCCGCUGAUCAUGCUACCGAACGUGAACGUGUUCGGAAGAAGACCACCGUCGUUUAACAUCCCCCUAAGCAAAAAGAUGCCAUUUUUAAGAUUACCCAAGCGGGUAUACCCAGAAAUUAGCAGAGUCCACGUGACGACGUUUCGUUGGGGCAUUUCGUCGAACACCUUGCGCGCGUCCUGCAUCGACCGGGAAACGUAGGCGCAGAGGAGGUGGUUGCAGAGGAAGGUGGAGACCAAGCAACCGAGCUUGAGAGAGAGGCCAUGAACGGCCCUGGGAUCGGUGGUGGCGCGGCGCUUGAGGUAGGAGGAGAGGUGGUCACGGAGAGGAGGUUCCAUUGGUGGGGUGGGUUCGAGGAAGAGGUGGUUAGGGUUCUUGUGCUGUUCAUGGCUUUGUGGAGUGGUGGUGUUGUAUUGGUGUUUGAUGGGAUUGAGGAGUUAAAAUGAAUUGCAUUGGCGAGGGUGGGGCGCGGAGUGCAUGACGCUUACCGUUGAGGGUGGAUUUCGCAUAUGUGCCAUGGAGAUAGGGAUGUCUAUGGGUAUGGAUAUCCGAAAUUUUAUUCUAACAGGAACCCGAAUAAAACAGAUAUAUCCGAUGUUAAAUGAAUAUGGAUUUGAAUAUAAAUUUCAAAAAUAGAAACCCGACGGAAAUGAAUUUUGACUGUACCCGACCCGAACCCGAACCCGAACCCGACCCAAACCCGAAUUUAUAUUGUAUUAUAUAUAAUAUAUAUAUAAAAAUUUGAUAUUAUAUUUCAAAUUAUAUUUUAAAAUUUUAGAUUUUUUGAAAUAUUGAAAAAGAAAUAACUGUUUCGGGUUCAAAUUUUCGGGUUCGGAUUCGGGUUUGGGUUUGGAUAUGGAUUUUUAAAAUCCGUUCGGCUCGGGUUCGGAUUCAGGUUUCGGGUUUGGAGUCGGGUUCAGAUUCGGAUUUUUGAAAAUCCGCACCAAAUCCGACCCAUUGACAUCUCUACAUGGAGAAAUGGAGGGACAAAAAAGCUUAUUUUGUUAACAAAAAGAGCCAAAAAAAAAGAAAAGAAAGAAGAGUAUAUAAUCCGAGAUCUCAUAUAAAAUGUUACUUUUUUUUUUUGAUAGUAAAUAAAUUUACAGGAUAUAUUAUUACUUAUACAAUAAAUAAAUAAUAUAAUAUAUUACAGUAUUUUAAGUUAUGAGUAAUACAUUGGCCCAACUUAAAUGGACUAAAAAGAAAUAGCCCAGUUAGAGCCGUAUGUUAGAUGGGCCUUGUAGUCGAAUGGGCCGAUACAGUUUAAUUUCCAAAAGUUUUGGGGUUUUCUUGCAAUUGUGCCCACCACGCAAUCGACGCCCCCCCAAAACCCUAGCCCCGUAAACCAUCCCUCUUCCUCUUCUUCUCUCUCUCUCUCCACCCCCUCCCUCAAAACCCUAGAAAGGGUCAAAAUACUUUACCCUACGGAAUCUAUCAAACCCUAGCACACGAGAGCCAUGUUUACGGGGGGGCAAAGCUUCGUCUCCGCACCUCCGACCUUCUCCAACGACGGGAAGAAGCUCCUGGUGUGCACGGGCUUCACCGUCUCCAUCUUCAGCACCUCUACGGGUAUGCAGGUAAGCCCCCUGCCAUUACACUAUUUCCGUACACUAUUCCCGUGUUUGUGAAGGGGAAUGAUGGAUAGAAGGGUAGAUGAUAACUGGGUAGUGAUAAAAAAUCUCAUCUUGGUGUGUAAGAUUGCGGAAUUGGAGGGCCACACCGAUCGUGUGACCUCGAUCGUCGUGGUGCCGGUCGCCGCGCCUGCGAGCAAGUUCAUGGAUUACUGCUGGACUUCGUCUUUAGAUGGGAUGAUUUGUUAUUGGGACUUCUCCGUGCCGGAGUUGAUAAAGAAGGUGAAGGUCGAACUCCCAAUAUUUUCCAUGGUAAGUUGGUUUUAUUAUUCUUUUAUGCCUUCUCUAGUUUUCUCAUUUGAAGCUCUUUAACUCACUUCAGCUAUAUACUGUGUGGGACCAAUUGAAAAAGUGAGCCAAUUUGGGUUAUGCUAGUCAACGAAUUUGGAAAUCAAGCUGAUUUCGAGUAACUUAGAUUCAUUGUUUCAAUUUUGAACAAACUGGAGUGGUCUAGUUUAUUAAUUUCACAGUUCCAUGUAUAGAAGAUGCAACUUGUCAUUUGCUGACUUGAUGAUAUUCUAAGUUAUUUGUUUUACAGGAUGAAGUUUGUAUGCAUGUAAUUAUAAUAUAUCUAUCUUGUGAAUCUAUUUUAAUCCUUGCUCUGGCAAUCUUUGUAGUUGGAUUUUAUUACUUUAUUAUUUUCAUUCAGGUGAUACCCAACAUAUCAAAUGCGUCAAUAGGGAGCGGUAAUAAGUCAUCCACUCUUUAUGCAUUUGUGUCAGUCGAAGACAAAACUAAGCCGGAUGAUCAACAUAAAGCAUUACGUGGCCAAAUUCGGAUUUACAACUUAACGAGCUCGCGUCGUGUUGGGGGGCUUUUGGCUGAGGUGCGAUCAUAUAAUUUUAUGGACUUGCUCGUUUUAGUGAAGCCAUUCAUUGGACUCACUGGGGUUUCGUAACAUAACUGUUUAUUAUUACCAUUGUUUUUGCAUGUGUAAUGCACAAAUUUCUUUCAUUGAUAGUAUGUGCAUUGAUCUGGUAUAUGCCCUCCUCAUCAUCGAAGCCUUUCCUGAAUAGUAUAGUUUGGCUAGAGAACAAGAUGGAAGCAUUGACAUGUUGCAAUACUAUGAUUGAACAUGCAGCUUAAGAAAUAAAAUUAGAGGCAACAUCUCCUUGAGAAAUAUGAUAUAGAUGUUGAUUCAUCUUUCAGCAUGUUACUUUGUACUACUUAAUUUAUAUGCCUAUACUAGAUUGAUAAUACCGCAUUAAUGUAUACAGACCCGGAAUCCAGAACAUAUUAUUGUGAGUAGAUCUGGAGAAUUCAUAGGUAUAAAAAACAAGCGAAAACUUCAUGUAUGGAGGAUCCCUGAAGAUUUUAAGCCUGACGAAAUAAAGAAGAUUAAGCUACAUCAUACAAAGAAUCUGAGUGCUCUUGCCUUUCAUCCAACUGAGAGAAUGGUAGCAGGAGGUGAUGUAACAGGGCGGAUAUUGAUCUGGAGAGGUUUUGGAAUGAAAAAGUUCACAGAAACUUUGCGAGAAUCAAGAGGAAGGCCAAAGCUUGAUGAAGACAGGCCUGGGGUAAGGGGUAACGAUGAUGCAGAUUCCUGCUCAACAUGGCAUUGGCACCCAAGUGAAAUAAAAUUUCUCCUCUUUUCUUCAGACGGAGCUUAUUUGUACUCAGGUUAUUCCAUACUUAGAUGCUGACUUUCUAGCUUUAUCAUAUCACCUUAAACCAAUUCUUUCGAGUCCCUCACUUGGUAAUGAUGAUACUGCAGCAUUGUUAGCUGUUGAUCUUCUUUUUUUUUUUUUUAUUUAACAGGUGGACAGGAGGGGGUUAUUGUGGUAUGGCAGCUUGACACUGGAAAGCGGAAGUAUAAACCACGCUUAGGAUCCCCACUAUUGUACUUUGUAGAUUCACCAGAUCCUUCUCUUUCUUGUGUAAGACAUCAGUUGUAUAGUUAUAAUUGUGUGAGAUUUGUGCUUCUACAUAAUUUGUUAUCAGCCACAUGUUUCAUGAAUUUAAUGUCAUUAAUGCGCAUUUAAGCAGGCAAUCCUUGGAUUUGAUUAUAUAAAUUUGUUAGCACAAAUUGCCACUAUGCAUUGAUUUCUUAGUUUUCAUAUGCUGUAAGGUGUAUAUACUGCUUUUUGCAGCGUAUUCAACUGAUUGCUAUUUCAGGUAUCUUGUGCAGAUAAUCAAAUUCAUAUAUUAAAAAUGCCAACAAUGGAGAUUACAAAGUCUAUAGCCGGAAUUAAGGUUUUGGCAUCAAUCUAUAUUGCUUAAUUAUUUACAGUUCAACUUUUUUUCUUGCAUUUUAUGUGAAGAUUUGAUUACUAAAAUAACUUCUCACAUGCCAUUUGCAGCUCCCAUUCUCUUUUCCGGAUGUAUAUGAUGGUCUGCAUAAGGAGUUCGCAUAUGACCAAAGCAAUGGGCUAAUUGCUUUGAGAACUGAAGAUUAUUGUGUUCAGUUUUUCAGCUUGUUUGACAACUCUGAGGUUUCGCAGGUCGGCCAUCCUAUAUAGGAGCACCUUUGGCUUGCUUUUAACUUACCAACCUUUUAUAUUUUUUCUAUGAUCCGUUUUCUCAAUUUUUGCUAGAACUGAUGGGAUCUUUUUUCUUUUUUUCCUAGGUGCAAGUAUGUGAAAGGAAUUUUCAGCCAGUGGAUGAUCCCACUGUAAGUUAACUAUCUACGCAUUUCUCAUAGUAAAUGCCACUGAAAUACUUUUGGUGGUCCGUCUGUUUUUAUUUUCAUUUCUUUGGCAUGCUUUUAAUUACACUAGCUUGUAUAUUUCCGCUACCACACAGACCAGGGCGAACAUAGAAGUAUGUAGUAUACAACAAAUAUAUAACACAACCGAGACAUUUUGGUGUGAACCAGAAUACCUAAAUGGUAGUAUUAGACUGUUGCUUUAUUGGUCUUAACUCUUAAUCUUAUGCAGUGCUUGAAAGAUUUUAGAGGGAUAUAUGAAGAAUUCUUCAAGAUAAACCAUAUCAAUUCAAUAAUGUUGAAAAUACUAUAUUGAUCUCUCCUAUUAGGAGCUGAGUUUGAGGAUAUUUGAGAAUGCUGGUUUUAGUUACAUUUCUUCAUUUUUAUGGUUACAGGUGUGUGUGGCGUUGGUUGCUCUUUCCUCUGAUGGCUUUUUGAUGUGUACUGUGGAUGUUAAGCUUCCUGAAGAAAGAUUGGGAAGUCUUGUUAGCCUAAAAUUUUGGACACGUGGCCUUCGGGUUGGUGAAUACUCCUUGUCUACUGUCAUUUAUGAGCCUCACAGGUUGGCGCACUGCUUCCAUUAGUGAAGAGCUUCAUUAUACAGCUAUUUAAUGAAAGCAUCUGACAGUAUCCUAAAGAUAAUACAUAUCACAGUAUAUAAUGAGGCACUGAGGGCAGUUCAUAAAAUAGUUGUGCCCUGUAUGCAUAGUAAACAACUUAUUAUUUAUUUCUUCUUGCAUUGUAGUCCUCCAGGUCAAAUUUGACAAAUUUUUUACAUGCUUUCAUGUUGUUUCCAAGGCCAACUGAUUUUUUAUUUUUUUAUUUUUUUUAAUCUCUGAUGCCAUUUUUCUCCUCUUAGAAUCUGGCGCUGUUAUUAUAGUUUUUCUCUGAUAAUACAACUAUCGACAUUGAAUACAGUGAUGCUGGGAUCUCAGCUGUUUGCUUCCAUCCUGGUCAAAGUAUGGCAGUAAGCUCUUCUUUUGGUGGUGACUUCAAGGUAUUUGUACUGCUUGUCUCCUACUAUGGUCUCAGUUUUGUUGGUAUACAUGAUUUGACUGUUGAAUUUCAAUUAUGUAGGUGUGGGUUCAUUCUUCUGUUAGCCGGCUAAGAGAUCAAAAGCAUGAGAAAGCUGGUUGGAGAUGCCAAUCUGUUGGUUCAUACAAGUAUGAGAUUUUAGUUUAUCAGCAUAUAGCUUUUGUUAAAAUGAAGCAACCUUUUUUGGAGUCAAAAAUGUUUUGGCAGAUUGUUAAAUGCCAUUGAUGUGAUUUAGAGGGAUUGACCAAGCUCAAGUUAACCUUGAGAUAGUAUGUUAUUUUUCUAUGUGACCUUUUUGCAAAUGUUAUUUGAUUUGAUUGGUUACGACAAGGGGACCUACCAGUGAUGGCAUGCCAUGUUUUUUUCAUUCUUUAAAUGUAUACUAUUUUUUUAUAAUGUUGCUUCAGCACUUUCUUUUGUUCUUGUUUCAUCCUGACCAUAAAUAAUUUGAUAAAAUACCCAUAAAGAGUUUAUGAAAAUUAUAUCUGAACUAUGCAGGAGAAAACCUAUGACAGCAGCAGCAUUUUCUGCUGAUGGAUCUGUUCUUGCUGUUGCAGCAGAGACUGUUAUUACAUUGUGGGACCCAGAUACUAAUAUUCUUGUUGCUGUGAUUGGGGAAGCUCUCUCGGUAAUCAUCUAAUACCCCAGCAAUAUGUACAAUUAUUACUGCUACUUAAGUAACGUCCAGAAUAGUUACCUUGACCUUUGCUUUUGGCAGCCUAUCUCAAAACUUUCCUUUGUUGGGAAAUCAGAGUAUCUCGUGUCGCUCUCCCGGAGUUCAAAACCACAGGUAGCAUUGUGGAACACUUCCAACCUAUCGAUGUACUGGUCAUACAAGCUAUUUGCUGAGGGUAUGCAUAUUUUUGAAAUAUUUUUGCUUAAUAAUACAAAUAUACAAUGAUUAUGUUGACAGCAUAUAAAUUUGUAGAACCUUUUUUUUGGUUGUUGUAGCUGUAUGUUGUGCAGGAAAUGCCCCUCAAUUUGCUAUCCUAGCCCUCUCAAGUUCUCAAAAUGACAUUGCCGUGAGAGAUCAAGAAGGGAUUAUAUUGUUAUUCGAUGUAGAAAAUCCGGUUCCUCUGACCACAUGGCUGGUGAAGAAGGUAUGUUGUUUGUUUAUUUGUAGUAGCGGUUCACUGUCUGUUAAAUAUUAAUGAAAAAUCUGAUCUUAAUCAGUAGUCGUGCCUGUAAAUAGUUUUACUGUUGAUUUAAGUAAAUUUUUUCUUUUUAAUACGUGAUUCAGGCAAAGGGUGGUGGGCUUGCUUUUGUAACUAAGGAUCAAUCUCUGCUAGUUAAUGGUUAUGAAGAUAAUGCGCGAGGAGAACCAUCAUUGCUGGCGUAUAUAAACAGCGAUCAUGAAUAUAUUGUCUUUGAUCCACACAACGAAGAUGGCCGAAUUGGCAAGAGUGCUCGGAGAAGUCAAGCUCCUCCCGAGGAAGCAGGUGAAAUUUUUGCCUGAUUUUUCUUUCCCAGAUCAUCAGCAUUUAUCAUUAUGCUUUUCUGUCCAAUUUGAUAGAAAGGAACAAAACAACAGGUUUCUGUGUGAUAAUUAUUGUAUUUAUGUAUCUGCUAUGAAACACCUAUAGAUAUAACAUUCAUAAUAUCAUCUCCAUGCGUGUUAAAAAACAUAUAUUUAAAUACUGAUAGAGAAGCGAAUUCAGAUAUAGAUAUUGCCAAUAUCUAAACAACCAUCUGACAUAUUUUUUCUGGUAGAGCUUUUCGUGUCAGUACUUUGUAUCGUGCUAUUAUAUGACACUUGCCAAAAAGGAAAUUAAAAAUGCAAUCAAUUUUGCCUUUUCUUCUGCAGUACCGAUUGGAUACACUUCAAUAUACGGGGAGCUUCCAAAAAUUGAGUCGAAUAAAGGCACGGAUUGGGAUAUCCCCUUCGUCCCAUCAGAAAGACCUUGGGAGACUAUUUUCAGCGGAUCAUCUCACGUUCUUCCGCCCCUCACGAAAUUAUGUUCGACAUUUUUGGCAUCCUUACUGGAAAAGAGACCACCGAUAGCUGAUGAAUCUUAAUCUCUUGAGAUAUCUGGUCUUUGUAUAUUGCAGCUAGUGGCAACUGAAGUUAACGAGGAAUGCACAUUAUACAUUCUCAAUGCAUUUUGCCCUCCAUGUCGCAGGAUGCAGUUAGCGAAUUCGGAAAGUUUGGCGCAUCAAAAGUGUGUUUAAUACCUCAAAAUAGGCAUUUUUGGCCGGAGAAAAUUGCUUCUUUUACUGAGGAUAAUAGAGCUUCUGUAGCCAUAUUUAUUUUGCAUACUUUAGGUCUCAAAAUUUUGUAAUCCAGCUGAGCAGUUUGUAACGUAUGAUCAUCGGUAGAGUCAUAAACCACUUUGCAGCAGCUACUGAGGAAAAUUUGGCUGCAGCAUUAUCCAUUCAAACUGUUUCUUUUUAGCGUCGUAAUUUUUAAUUUAAAUUCUUAUUUAUCGUAUUCUGUUGAGAGUUGGAGUUAAUUUUCCUUCGGGGUCGGGCUUAUUUCAUCCGCGAUGUUAUAAGUUAUAGCAUAAUAAUAUUUUCCUUGUGCUGUGGUCUUUAAAAUACUGUUCCCUAUAGCAUCAAAUGCAUUUUUUUUGGGUGAACAGUUAUUAGUAAACAAAACAUUAAUCGUCGAGAAUUUGAUAUAACUCAAAUCUAGACGAGUGCAUCGGCGGAAAAAUAUGCAUAUGUCGAGUGAAUCUAGCAAGCAAAAAGUCGGCAGCGACUUAUAUUUCGUUGCCGACUCUUGGUUCGAGCAACGACUACUGUAUUUAUUCAAUGCCCCAAGAUAAGAAAGAGAGAGCUCGGGGAUGCGUAAGCCAUUUGAGUGGCAAUAAAGAGCUGUGGAUGAGCCAUUGAUGUGGCGAACUAUACUCUCCCCUCUCCCCACUCUCCGUUUGAAACCUCUUCCUUACAAAUUGUUUCGAGAGCUCCAACUCCCAUGUGAGAAAUCGCAAUACCCAUCUCAUUUCUCCGCAAAAAGCACUUCUUUUUUUUUUUGUUUUUUAAAUUCUCCUGCUAGAAGCGCUUCUGCAAGAAUCCAUGCCAACCCUAGUCCACUCCGUUUCCCCCCUUCCGAGAAGCAGCGCCACCUCCGACGCAAACCGAUCCAAACCAUGCUUCCUCCCCCAUUCCCCCAAAACCCUAGUUUUCCCCAAAACCAGGGGCUUUUCUAGGGCUUUGUCCUCGACCCACGUCGCAACAAUCCCCUCCAAAGACGCGGGCUUUUCCCUGCCCAACUGGAGGAACGGUAAGAGCGAGUCGAGGAGCAAAGAGCUCCGGCUCCACGACGCUUUCCUUUAUUUGGAGUUCAUGGUGGGGAAAGGGCACAAGCCCGAUCCGGCGCAGGCCACUCAGCUCCUGUAUGAUCUGUGCAAGCUCAACAAGAUCCGAAAGGCGGUUCGCGUAAUGGAGUUGAUGGUCCGCUCCGGUAACACUCCCGACCACUCCACGUACACUUUCUUAGUUAACCAGCUGUGUAAAAGAGGAAAUGUUGGGUAUGCCAUGCAACUAGUCGAUAAAAUGGACGAAUACGGGUGCCCCCCGACGACGAUCACGUACAAUUCUUUGGUUAGAGGGCUCUGCGUUCAUGGCAAUUUGCAGCAAAGUCUCCAGCUUUUAGAGAGAUUGAUGCAUAAGGGCUUGAUCCCAAAUGUGUUUACUUACUCGUUUUUACUAGAAGCAGCUUAUAAGGAGAGAGGGGUCGACGAGGCCGUGAGGCUACUAGAUGAGAUCAUGCGUAAGGGCGGGAAACCUAAUUUAGUUAGCUAUAAUGUUCUCCUCACUGGUUAUUGCAAGGAGGGUCGGUUAGACGAGGCCGUGAGUUUCUUUAGGAGUUUACCGUUAAAGGGGUUUAGUCCGAACGUGGUUAGCUAUAACAUUUUGCUGCGGAGUUUGUGUUACGAGGGGCUGUGGGAGGAGGCGGAGGAGCUUUUAUCCGAGAUGGGCGAUAGGGAUUGUUCUCCGAGUAUUAUAACGUACAACAUUUUGAUCGGGUCGCUUGCCUAUAAUGGUCGGACGGAGCAAGCGCUAGCGAUUUUGGAGGAGAUGGCGAGGAAUCGGUUCAAGCCCGUGGCUGCGAGCUAUAACCCUAUAAUUGCGCGGUUUUGUAAGGAGGGGAGAUUGGAUAUGGUGUUGAAAUGCCUUGACAUGAUGAUGCAUAAGAAUUGUGCUCCAAAUGAGGGCACUUAUAAUGCCAUUUCCGUGCUUUGUGGGGAAGGGAAGGUGGUAGAAGCCUUCUCCAUACUCCAAAAUUUGGCGAGUAAGCAGAACGCUUCGAUGCAUGACUUCUACCGAAACGUGAUUUCGUUCUUGUGCAAGAAAGGAAACACUUAUGCGGCGUUCCAACUUCUGCACGAGAUAACGAGGCACGGGUUUGUUCCUGAUAGUUAUACUAAUUCAUCUCUGAUUAGAGGUCUUUGCAUGGAGGGCAUGUUGGAUGAGGCUAUCGAAAUAUUCGAAGUGAUGGAGGAAAAUGGUAGCGGGCCUGAUUUAGACAAUUAUAAUGCGCUAAUACUCGGGUUAUGCAAGGCGCAGAGAACGGAUCUAUCGUUCGAUAUAUAUGAAACUAUGAUCGAGAAAGGCUAUGUGCCUAAUGAAACGACGUAUACAAUCCUCGUUGAAGGGAUUGCUCACGAGGAUGAAACGGAUUUGGCUGCGGAGGUUUUGAAAGAAUUGCAUAUGAGGAAUGUUAUAAGCCAGAAUACCAUGGAGAGAAUCACUAUGCAGUAUGACUUGGAAUAGCUUUUGUUUCUUUUUUGGGAAAUCGAGGGCAAAAAAUGCGAGAAAAAAGAUUUUAGUGGUUGGUUGAGGAACUCGGUUUCGAAGUUGUAGCAUAAAGAGUUGGCUCCUUUGCCAUUUUUCCGGAUCCUGACAUGUAUCUUAAGUCCUGCUUUGGUUGAUCAAAUCCUAAAGCUGAACACAAUCAUAUAGGCAUGAAUGUGUUUCCCUGAAUCCUGAUGGAAGAGUCAUACUUAAGAGCUUCAGAUGCUUACUUUUCUUAAUUGAGAAUGUUCAGCUUAAUUGUGUAGGAUGGAUUGUUACCUCACUCAUCCCAGUGGUUCAUGUUGUGGUGAUGCUUAAAAUUGACCUUUUACUGUUUGAGAGAGUGGUUAGAUUAUCAGCUAACUGGUUUGUAGAUACAUAAUAUUACUCAAAUAUGAACUUUUUGAUGCCAUGAGAACACUACUAGAUAGAUGCUGUGAAUCAUAUAUUAAACAUGAAUGAUGAUCCAACAUUUCUCUUUUCAUCCAGUUGUGUACUUCAUUUCUAUCAGAGUAUAAGAUGCUUGUAUUUCCUCCGAAACUAUCUAAUUUGUGAUGGUUGUUUUUCCACCAUGAAAUGAAGAGACUUUUUUAGAAUUAAGGUGUGCCGAGUAGGUAAGGGUUAUUAUAUUUUUAUGAGUAUAUAUCUUUUUUGUAUUCAUAAAUUUUUACUGUUGAAUGAAAGGAGUGCGGUUAGAAUGAUAGUGAUCUCUGAUUAGAUCGAGUGGAUGGUUGGUUAAAUAGUAUAAUUUAACAGAUAAAAAUGAUAAAAAAAAAUAAAUAUAAUGAUCGAAAAUUUAUAAAUAUAAAAAAAUUUAUGCUCAUAAGAGUAUAAUAGUCCACGUUAGUAAAUUUUUACAAUUUAUUAUUAUUUUUUUUCCUCUUAGUGAGCACGUACUAUCCUAAACUGACCAUACACAACCAAACUCGCAUCGUAGCCGUUCAAUAUUAUAUACACAAACUUUGGGCACAAAAUGAACGGUCAGGGAAAGUCCCACUGCGCGAUUCGCUCACGACCGUUCAUCACGACUUACGAGCGUUCGCUUCUCCGUCGUUCCAAACCCUAGCACUAUAAAUAUGUACGGCUCCCUGUUGUUUUCGUUUCUUUUGUUCUCGAAGCCGCUCCAAGGAGAGAGUUGAGAGGCGGAGAUCGGCGUAGUUUCGAGAGCUCGCGGGUUGAGACGAUGAGGGCGAAGGUGAGAUCGCUUUGAUCCCUUCCUUUUUUUUUCCCGCGGUUCUUUGAAUUGAUUUGAUCUUGUGUAUCCAUCUGUGAUCGAUCUAAUUAUUUUAGGGUUUUUUUUGAGUUCUAUUGGUGUCGGUUUAGGAGCUUGUGAUGUACGAUUUUUGCAUGUUUUUGGAUGUCCUUUCAAUGUUUGAGUUUAGUUCGGUGGUUGAUCUCGUAACUAUCUUUGUUGAGGAAUCUUGGAUUAUUUGUUUCUUUCAUUGCUUACAUUUACUGUUUUGAUUUUUCAUAAUCCGUGGGUUAUGGGUUAUAUGAUUUUCCUUAUGCUUAUACCUUUGACUCCUUUGUAUUCUUUGAUUUGUGAGAUUAUUGUUGUUUAUUGUAGUAGAGAAUAAUGUUCAAUAAGAUUUUGUAUUCGGGUUGUUAGGCCAAUCGAAUAGUUUUAUGUAUUUAUUCCGGGAUUGCGUUAGAAUUUUAUUGAUAAAAAUUGGAAAUUGUUUGACAAAGUAUUAUGGACUUCUAGAUCAUUAUUUUAAAAAAAAAACAAAUUUAUAUUCUAGAAAUCUUCUGAGGGUAGACAUAAGAUGGCCACAAUUUCAAUCCGGGAUGUUGAAAUUCUUGGAAAACUCUGAAAUAUAUCAUUAACUCGCAACCAUCUUACGAGGUGUUGUGGAUGUUGCAACCAUGAAUUCCUUAUUUGGGCACAGAAGAGAAUAAUGCUACAGUCUUUAGGUGGCAGAUCAGAUGUGGGCAUUGUGUUUGUGGAUGGAAUCAAAUUAUUUUGAUCACCUUCUCUGUAUGCAUGAAUCGUAGCCCACUUUGAAGUACGUGAUGUUUGGAAAACAUGUGGAACCAUAAAAAGAAUUAUCAGAUGUGUCUUAUUCUGGCACGUCAUUCACAUAACUGUCAGAUACCAGUGAUGGUGCUUUGAGUAAAUAUUUUGCUGUGAUAAAGGGUGCUUUUGAGUGAGGCAUGCAUAAUAGAAAUGUUUCUGAGCUUCUCUUGGUGUAUGUGUGAUCCAACUAAGGGUGCGUUUGGUUCGCGCUAUCUUUUAAAGAUUCCUAGUAAUGCAAUGGGAAUAAAAAAUUAUGACGGUGUUUGGCUAAAUGCACUAAGUAAUCUAGUUGGUAAUAUUGGAUUCACUUGGGAAUAAGAUUCACCCCAAAGUACUAAUCUCAUUCCCUUGAGGGAGGGUGGGUAUCCUCAUAUUAAUGGAUUGGGGUAAUCAUAAUAUGUCUAAUCUCUUUCUUUCUUCCUACCCGUCGGCUAAUUGAUAUUAUUUGUCUUUACACUCUAACCUUAUAUCUCUCUCUAAACUUAUUUUUCUCUUUAAAAUUUAACUUUUUUUUCUCUCUCUAAACUAAGCUUUCUCUCUCUCUCUUUUUAAAAUUUCAACUCUCUCACUCCCUCUAAUUUUGACUAUAUUUUUCUUUCUAUUUUUUUAAUUAUGCUCUCUCUCUCUAACUUAUACUCUCUCUCCCUUUUUUCUAAAAAGAUGUUGAAACUUUUGGUAACAUUAUCUAAAAUUAAUUAAAUUAAUUAAUUAAUUAAUUGUAUAUUUUUUGUAAUAUUAAAUAAUAUGGUUAAUUAAUAUUACCUCGCGAACCAAACAUAGGAAUUUCGCAUUCUUAGUAAUAGGAUGAAUAGGAAUAAGAUUCUCGGAUAUCUUUUAUUCCUAGUAAUCUUUCAUAAUGCGAACCAAACGCACCCUAAAAGUUAAAUCCUAUUUAGUAAGAUGUAAAGGAAGAGAUUUAGGGGGGACUAGGAAGAUACUUCAGUUAAAAAUAAUUUUUGUUCUCUUCGGAGGAAAGUAGGAAGAUUAGGUCUGGUUGUAUCUUGGACUAUUGUUAAUCCUGUUUAAUGCUUUGUGUGCAAUUGUUUAUUGAUAGUAAGAUAAACUUCAAUUUCCCCCCUUGUGGUUUAGCUCAUUUUUCCAUUAUGUGGUUCAAAAAAUUGCACUUAACUACUAUAUUUUUUUUUCUCUAUUCUUAUCCAAUAAAUCUACUAACAAAUCGGGUAGCAAAGUGAAAUUUUUUGAUAACCACAUGAUAAUUAAGUAUAACUUUUUGAACCAUUGAGUUGGAAACUGAACAUGAGUUAAACCACGGAAUGGUUGAGUGCUAUUUUUUGAACCACAAGAUAAUAAAGUAAUAAUAAGCUAAACCACAAAAGGGCAAAUUGAAGUUUACCCUUGAUAUUAUCGGCGGCUGUGACUCGUUGGACUCUUGCAUUCUGACAUCGCAAAUUGUAGAAAGGUUUUUGUAUUAUUCCUUGUCCUCGACACUUAUCGGGGGUCCCAAAAUAUUGCCCGCACCAAGUGCAUCCGUAAGUCCGUUUACCAUGCAAUUAGAGACUUUCCUCUUUUUCUUAGUUACUUGGAUGGCUGGAUAGGUUUUAUGAGAUUGAUGGAUAAACGGUGGAGGAUGAUUAUGCCCAAACACAAGGUGUAGGCUAUCAAUUUUCUCCGAGGCAAGUAGUAAAUAAAGAACUUUCAAAAGUUUGAGGUGAAAUUCAGCAACCGGGUGGUGCAAUUGACCAUUUGUUACUCAGUUACAAUAUGUCCUGCAUGUGCUUUUGUUAUCUAAAAUGCCGUUUCAAAAUUAUCUGUUUGUUGUUCCAUAUAAUGGAGAAUAAUUAUUGGUUUGUAUUUUUAUCUUCUUCAGUGGAAGAAGAAGCGCAUGAGGAGGCUCAAGAGGAAGCGCCGAAAGAUGAGGCAGAGAUCCAAGUAGACGAAGGGACGGAUUCAAGGGCUAUCUCCUUUGGUUUUUUUUUCCUUUUUAUAUAUAUUUUUCCCCCUCCUUUGAGAGGCCUCUAGACUUGCGUUUUGUCGAGUUAAAAAUGUUCUAACUUUCCUUCAGACCAUGAAAACCAAGACGUUUUAUUUUGAGUUAUGAUGAGUCCCCGUUCGGGGACUAAUCUAUGAGCUUCCGUUUGCUUCGGUGUUAAGGGGUGAAGUUAUUUCCAAACAUCUAAUUUUGGGGGUGGUGUUAGCUAACUCCAUCCCGGCUAUUCUAAAUUACUCUAAUUUCAUCUUAAUUCUUAACUUAAUCUUAUUCUUGAAAUAAUAAAUUUUUACUUAAUCCUGAACCAAACGAUAGCUUAGUUUCUCUCUUCUCUUUGGAUUGUGCGCACGCCUGUUGAUGCGAAGCAGAUGGUUUCAUCGCGAUACUACCCAGGUUCAGGUUCUACGUAUGCAUCAUAUGAUGGAACUGAAAUUGGAGCGUUAUUUAUGUAGAAGAGCUUCUUACGUAAUUUCCGUGAACCAAUGAUUACACAACACUCCCUUUCCCCUUCAGCAAGAUUCGUGUUAAUAACCUCUCAAAAAUCAAUCCUCCUCUUUGCCGUCCGCACAAUUUUUUACCUCAAUGCUACAUGUAUAUCUAAAUGUGCGAGAUUUGCACCACAUAAUUAUUUUUUAUUAGUCUAGGUCUUUUUAAUAUUAAAAAAGAAAUGGAAGGAGAUUUUGUGAAUCCAAGGACGAGCGAGGUGCUAGAUUUUUAAUCUGUAUACUAGGAAUAUAUAUGUAGUAUGUUUUAUUUUGUGAAUCAUCAUAACAGAAAAGAUUAAAAAGAAAUCACAUGUUCCGAUCUUAUAUAUUUGAAGAGAAGCUGUUAACUUGGCAUUUUGUCCUCUGUUUCCUAACACGAACGCAAUUCCAAUUUCUUGAUCUCUGUCGCAGCUUCCCCCCCACCCCCCCAACUGCCAAAAGGAGAGAAACAUUCCAAAAUCCAAACCGAGACAUUGACCCGCGGGUGAAUUUGCAGGAGAAUCCCUGCACAAUCCAGGUAUUGCUUUGUCGCUUGCUACAGUACUCGUGACGUUUUGUUUUGAUAGGUGGUUUUCACGGACCUAACACAACAAUCGGAUACCGAUCCAAUUAUAUUCCAACGGCUAGUUCAAGCACCCGCCUCCCCCACCUUCGACAGCGCCUACUCCAUAAAAAGAUGAAAAAGCAAUCAUCUCGUGAUUUUUGUGCAGAUUCCUCCUUACUAUAACUGUUUAUAAUAAUAAGGCCCGUGUUUUAUUCACAAACUAUGAUACGUUGCAUAAAUCGCGAUAGCUUACUGAGGCACGAUGAUAACAAACCGGUUCUUUAUUUUAUGCAUCACUAUAACGCCAGUACUAGUUAAAAUGUUUUAGAUUCCAUUUGAGGCAAGGAAAAGUAUAAAUCUAUACUUUUUGAUUUUUUAGCGUGAUGAGCUAGUUUAGGAUUAUCUUUUUCUUUUAUAUAUAUAUAUUUCAAAAUAUUUAAAGGAGAGAAAAUGUACGUCUGAGUAAACAUAGAAAUUAUUUGUUACUGGACAGUAAAAGUUGAUCUCAUCUAAAAGAGGAGAUACCAAAAAAAAAGAGAUGGAAAAAGGAAAAGGAGGGAGCAAAUGAAUAAAAGGAAAAGGAGGAAACAAGAUAAUGGCUCUCUUCUUUGAAUCUUUCAUGCAUUUCAUGGCUCACAGAGUUUGCUUUAAUUAUGACACCAUAAACUAGAAAAUAAUCAUUGCAAGACACAAUGCUUAUUUUGUACAAGCAUUGCUCAAAUUAUUUUUAAAAUGAUUUAUAAUUAGUAAUCCUAAUCGAGUGAUUUCAUUAAUUACUUAGUACGGCUAAACUCAAAACUUUGAUCCCUUUCACAAAGAUUUUAUAUAGUAACUUUUCAAACUAAAAAGAGGAAGUAUAUAUAUAGGAGUUAAAACACAUCUUAAAAAGAUAAUAUUUAAUAGAGAAAUAAAUGUACAGUUUUUUUUUCUCUAACUUCACAUGCGCACUUGGACUUGCAUACAUUUACUAAAUUAAGAGUAAGUGCUCUCGACACUACAGGGUUAUUAAAUGUGCAUGACCCUCGCAGGUACUGUAAUUCGCUCUGUGGAAAAAAGGUGGUCAAAUUUCUAAUAAGGAGACCACUAAGAAAUGUAAAUAUGUAAUAAAUAGGGUGGUGAUGAUGAGCUACGAGAGCAUUGAAUGAGCAUGGAUCCAACUCCACCUUUUUCAAAUCAUUAAAUUGCACAAAAUCAUACUGAUAAUAAUGCUAUUCACAUUUUGAGAUAGAGAGGAGUAGAAUCUGAAAAAUAAAAACUAUUUUAUGAAAAUAUUUUUACAAAUCAUGAAAUGUUGGUCUUUGACUUACUGUAUAUCAUGUCUAAAAGAACCAAUUAGUUUACUUAUAUUCUACUUUUAUCUAGUUCUCAGAAGCGUGCCUAGUAUUUUAUUCAAAGUAGUAUUAUGGUUUCAGUAUAUUUGUUUCUAUUACAAUAUUGCGAAUGAAAGCUAAAAUUUCUAUACAUAAUAUGGAUAAUAUUAUCAAUGGAAGCACAUUUUAAUAUUGACCAAAAAUUAAAAGUAUUUUUAGUAUUUAAUACUAUACAGGUUUAAUAGUCCAAAAACUCGCAGAUCCUUAUUGGCUAGUAGUAGAAAUUUCUUUUAUAUCACUCUCGUAAUUUUUGUUUUUAAUAGCUAUAUUCAAGCAAAAGCUAAUGAUAAUAUAUAUAUAAAAAAAAAUCCAUUAAUUUGUGGGGUGCAUCAUUCAUUGCAGAGGAAACACUUUUGUGCACCAUUUGUUGAGAGUGGACCCAUUUUGGUAUAUUCCAUCCAAAUAAAGUUUUUUUUAAAAAAAAAAAACUAAGAACACACUGAUCAAACGGCUAGUGUAGCUCUCUGGUUACUGGUACAGUGAUCCAACGGUGGGCUCACAAAGUAAACUACAGCGUUAUUUUUUUGGACUCACACCGCGUCCACUACCGUAUAUUAAAAUAAAAAAUAAAUUAGAACGUUGGAGAGAGAAUCAAUGCACAGUUCCCGAGGUGGUGAACCGAGCCCUAACCAUUAUUCUCCUCGCCCUUUUCGUUUAUCUGUAUUAGGAGAACUUAUUCCCUGCACCUGAUAUAUCCCAACGCUUUGUGAACCUCAUUGUAUGGUUGUGAAAUGGUCUGUUCAAAAUUAUGAAUAUUAAAUUCACCUAUUUUUAGGUGUGUAUUGUUUUAAAUUUAAAGCAUGAAAUUUGCAAAUUUGAAUGUUAAAUUAUAUUUAUUAUUAUUCACUGGAUACGGUUCACGAUACGUACGGAUGAACCGCGUCCACGCGUAGUUUCUCCUUUAUUGCACUUGAGCCUUUUUUUGGGUAAAUGCUGAGGUGUUGGGGUUUCCACUCUCGGGCUGGUGCAGAGAGAAAUUAUUUCGUGCACCGGGUGUAUACACUAUAUCUAACUCAUUAGAUUUGGGCAUAAAUAAAAGGGAAACUUCAAAACCCCCCUGUGGUUUCAUUGUUUCUUACUUUAGUACCCUGUGAUUUAAAGUGUAUCAAUUUGCCCCUCUGUGGUUUCGUUUUUAUCUUUUCGGUAGCUUUUUUGUUAAUAUUUUAUUAAAGGAAAAACUUCAAAAACUCCCCUUGUGGUUUCACACUUUUUCAUUUUAGUACCCUGUGGUUUAAAGUGUAUCAAGUUAGUACCCUGUGGUUUCUUUAUCACUUUAGUACCCUGUAGUUUAAAAUGUAUCAAAUUAGUACCCGGUGGUUUUGCACUUUAUCACUUUAGUACCCUGUGGUUUCACACUUUAUCACUUUAGUAUCCUGUGAUUUAAAAAACCACAGGGUACUAACGUGAUACAAAAUUAAAACCACAAGGUACUAAAGUGAUAAAAUGCAAAACCACAUGGUACUAACUUGAUACACUUUAAACCACAGGGUACUAAAGUGAUAAAGUGAGAAACCAUAGGGUACUAACUUGAUACAUUUUAAACCACAGGGUAUUAAAGUGAAAAAAAUUGAAACCACAAGGAGGGUUUUUGAAGUUUUCCCUUUAUUUAUUAAAUUAUAUACAAAAAAACUUCAGAUACCUAUCUAGAUUUAUCAAAUAUUCACUUUAGUAUUCUUUAAUUUUAACUUUAUCACCGAUUUAAGAAAAAAAAAUAAUGAAAUUGAUAAGAAAAAGAGAAAAAAGAAACCACAGAAGGACAAAUUGAUACAUUUUAAACCACAGGGGGGCAAAGUGAGAAACUAUGAAACCACAUGGGGGGUUUUUGAAGUU